rnacentral:lncRNA from 1 species
UUUAAGUUUCAAGUAUUAGUGCACUUUUAAUCUCUUCAUUAACAUCCAUUUACUCAUUAACGUUUUGAUCCUUUACACAUCCAUUUAUGGCCUCCGCUGUAUACGUUCUGGUAUAACACAAAUUAAUUCUUAGAUUUAUCUUAGCAGUUGCAGAUGAGUCUUCAUUUGUACUUGUUUUAUUUUUUGGCUCUGCAUCUUUCAUUGUUUGGUGUGCACCAUUCAAGAUUUGCUAAUUCUUUAACUUUCUCCUCUAUUUUCCAUACGCAAUUAAUAAGCUGACUAUAAGUCUUUGGGUUUUCCUGAAUAAAAGCUGACUAUAUAUCUGAAACAUAACCAAAGAAUAAAAUAAAAACAAGAAAAAAGGAAAAAUAUAAUACAUACUUAGUCUUCGUGUAUCAAUAUCUCAAAUUAGCAUCGGAUAAAAGUGCACUAAUACUUAAAACUUUGGAGGACUAUUAGUGCACCAAUUGAUGAUUUCGAAUCUAAAGCCAAAAAUAAAGGACUAUCUUGUAUUUUUUCUUUCGAUUUGGGCUGAUAUGGUUUGGACGGAUCAAUAAUCAGCCAAAUAGAGUCAAUAAGAGGAGACUAGUAAAGAAGUAGUCAUGCGGUUUUCUAGUCUUUUCAUUAACUAGUCAAUAAUUAUUUUUAAAGCUACAUAUCAAGUUAGCAUAUAGAGCAAUUUUGCAGGUAAUUUAAGGAUUAAGGAGCAUGAAACAGUAAUUACCCUUUUCUACUAAUAUCAAUCUACAAAUCCUUGGAAAUGGAACAAUUUUAACUUGCCCAAUAUUGAAAUGUAAAAGAUGGAAAGAAAUAAAAAGAAUUAGCAUAAACAGAAACAAUGACAGCAAAACCCUAUAUCCAUCCCCAAAUAGCACAAAUUCAGAUUCAGAUUCAGAUUCAAAUUCAAAAAAAUAAUCAGAAAUCUAACCUUAUAAGCUGAUGAAGAAGAAGUGCCGCAAUUACGACAAGGUAAAAAUGGAAAAAGAGAUUGGAUUGAUUGAGUGGUGUUGUAGAAAUACCUCCAACAGUUGACUACUUCCUCACUUUCCUACACUUCUUUUGUCAUUUUAGUUUAUAUAACUCCCCUUAAUUCCUUUUAUCCAAGUUUUUAAUACCAAGGGAUAUGAUGGAGUAAUAAGUACUUAUUCAUUGUUAAUUAGAGGUCUUGGAUUUGAAUCUUUUGGCUAUGAAGUCAUCCGUGUUAGGGAGCACUUUACCCAUAAUGUGAGAUUUUUCGACUGGGCUCUAAUAUGGAUACCGAACAUUGAGCGAUUUUUCUUUUUUUACCUUAGUGGUCAUUUGGUAGGUGGAUAAAGCUACAUCUAAUACAUGAAUCACUACAAGAAAAGUGCUGAUUACCUGGGAAUUAUUGUAGAGAAUAUAUGAUAACCCUAAUGGGUGGAGGGAGGACCAAUUUAUAGAGGUUAUGAUUUAAUCUGGUAUAUCCAUCAAGUAACCAAUGUACGGACGAGAUCUAUUCCUUAUUAAAUAUUAUUUAUGGUAUUACUUGCGUUACUAGUAAACUUGAGCCAUAAGUAAGAAAUAAUUAAUAAUAAUUAAUAAUAAUUCUUACACUUCGGGGUGCCUUCGCCAUAGUUCAAGUCUGGAGUCGGCCAUUUCAGUUCUUGAAAGCUUUUAAUCUAGCUAGUGUUAUUCAUAGUACUUCCGUGUACUUAUCGACCUUAUGUGAGUCCAAACUCGUUUGAGUUAUACAUUUACUUUCUAAUUGUGCACGAGUAUACAUACUUUCUAGGCUUAUAGAGGUCCAGUUAGGUUAUAGAUUAUUGCUUUACUUUACUACUUCGUUCUUUUCAGACUCGUGAGCUAUAUAGUUAGACUUUCCGUUAUUGCUUUGUUCAUUUGACCUCUAAUUACUGUUACUUUCAUAUUCUUCAUAUUGUUUUUACUUUCCAAGUUCAGUUGACCUAUGAUGCCUACUGGACACCUGUUGUUCUGAUAUUCAUGCUACACUCCACAUCUGUUUUCUUGAUGUGGAUUUGAGCGCCAGCCGACAACGGUGAUUGGAGCCUAAGUAAUGCGGAGAUCUUCUGAGAUGAAUGGUGAGCUAAUGGCGUCCUAGUUCGACUUAUCUCCAUAUGUAUAUAAUUUUUUACAUGUCUUUUGUAUUCGAGACAAAUUUAUUAAGUUAGUCAAUAGCAUAGGCUCGAAACUAUGACUAGAACAUUGAGUGCAUGACAUGCACAUCUUACUCCUUACUUUCCUUAUUCGUGCCUGUUUUUUUCAUACUUUCUAACUUUCACUAGUACAUUAUCCCUUGUUAAGGAAAAUUAUGUAAACAAAAUAGUAAAUGGCCUGAUCCACUUAAGAGUGAGGGCUAGUUCAUUGAUUGAUACAGCUAAAUCACAUUAAAUAAUAAAUACGGAGGAGGGCCUAAAAUACCCUUCAAGUAUAGGUAAUGGAACAAAAAUACCCUCUUCCACCUUUAGGCUCCAAAAUACCCUUCCAUCCAUCUAUAUGGACCUAUAUUACCCUUUCACUUAACAGAUUCUUUAAGACUAAUAAUUAAUCUUUUCAUUAAUGAUGUGACAGUCUUUAAUUGGUUGAAAUUGGAAUUAACCAAAAUAAGAAUUUCUCUUAAUUAAACCCAGAUCCAACUAAAUUCCACCCGACUCACUUAAAAUUCUAUUGACCCAUAUCUUAAAUAAUCAAACUUCAAUCAACAACUUGCUCCAGUUAUUUUUAAUCCCAGUCAAAAAAGAGGUACAUUAGACCAUAAACAACAUGAAACUUCCGAAAAUUCCCUGGAAACAUUCCAAGAAGGAAGAAGUGAAAUACAAGAUCAAGUGCCACUAUAAUCAUAUACCAAUAUACACCAUAUUUUGAAACACUAUGAAAAGUCCAGCAAAUCUCCAAUCUCUGGGAAACAUAAACUCAAAGCGGUAAAAUUUCUCAAAAUCCGAAACCCUAGAGUUCAAAAAUUAUUUCACUUCUUUCUUUUUUGCGAUUCAUAUAAAGCACCGCACGCAAAAAGCAAAACCAACAUAAUUUUGGGAAAUUCUCAAAGCAGAAUCAUGGAAUAGAAUAUAAAAAAAAAAUAAAAAAUUUAGCCAUAGCAAGAGAUUAUAUACUUGAUGAAGAAAAGCGAUAGAUAUCGCUUUUCUUCAUCUGCAAAUUUUACGAGAAAAUUAUAUGGAGAGAAAUUCAGUGUACAGAGAAAAAAAAGGAAACUCACCGCUACACACUCGAUUCUUCUUGUUUUUUUUUAAAGAUAUGGGUCAGUAAAAUUUUACGUGGGUUGGGUAGAGUUUAGUUGGAUCCGGGUUUGAUUUGGAGAAAUUAUUGUUUUUGCUUAAUCUAAAUUCCAGCCAAUUAAAGAUUGUCACAUCAUUAAUGAAAAGAUUAAUUAUUACUCAUAAAAAAUCUGUUAAGUGAAAGGGUAAUAUAGGUCCAUAUAGAUGGAUGAAAGGGUAUUUUUGAGCCCAAAGGUGGAUGGAGGGUAUUUUUGUUCCAUUCCCUAUACUUGAAGGGUAUGUUAGGCCCUUCUCCGUAAUAUAUAUUACAUUUUUGAACUGUUAAACUAGAAACAAGAUUUAGGAUUUUUCAAGUGGACCAAAAUACAGAUAUUGAUGCCGAGUACUUAAAGUCUGUUGCUUGCCGAUACUCUAAAAGUAGUAGUGUAUUUUUGGAGAAUCUAACAUGAGUGGAGAGUACACGCGCAACUUAGCUUAAAUUGUGUUGGUCCAAAAGGAAUGCCCCUUGAUACCAUAAACAAAAAAUACCAUGUCAGCUUUUUAUUCAAUAAUAGUACAAAGAUGACUGAUCCAAACAAUUUUAAGCUCAAACACAAUGUUAUAAGAAGACAAGAUACGAACUAAUGUCACAAUAUUACAGGUAAAUCGUUUUUUUUUCUUCCUGUUUUUCAAUUAUUAUCAUUAUAGUAUUUUGUAUUCCAAAUCUUAACGAUACUCAUCCAUUGGUAUGGUAUAGAAGAAGUGUUCAAUUUGCUCGACCUCGCCCUGUGUCUCGUUUCCUCUCUUUAUUGGAGCUAGGCUCUCCUUGUAAUUGAAAACCCAACAGCCAGCAAUGUUAAGGUCCAGGUGAAAUCCAAGAUCUGUAACUUGUCUUGUUUUAGGGUCAUAUCGCACCAGCUGUGAAGUUUCUGUGAUCUCGAAAACCAUCUUAUCAUUAUCCAAGAUGUUGCGAGGCCAAUGAGCAUCUAUAUGAGGUUGUACAGUUAGAACUUUGGACCAAUUUCUGUCUUGUUUCAUUACCCACACAUCGUAUAUGGAUGUCAUUGGUUUACCAGGGUCUCCGGUUAACAUAGCAAGUGAGCCGCCAUGCAAUGUAAGUGUCCCCCAAUGUUCACUUGGAAUAUCUGGGACUUGCAUCUCCCCAAACUGUUCGCUGCCCAUGUCAAAAGAGCGAAUCGUGUAGAUCUCAUCAAGGCCCCUACAAAGCCAAUAAUAAACCCCGUUGAGAUAAGUGGCGUCAAGGGGUGCAGAUAAGGUAGAACUGGGAGGGAAUUCAGGAGUAAGGUAUUUCCAUGAAUUGUUGCAUGAGGAAUAGACACAGGCAUAGACACGAUUAUUAGCACCUUGUCCCAGUUCAUCCCAGAACACUCGAAUCCAUACAACCUUAUAAUCUAGAGUCAACAGGUCAAAUCCCAAUCCGAACUGAUGAUCAUGGUCCGAGAAAAAGUACUCAAUCACAAAAGGCGCAGGAGGCAGAGACCUGAACUCUCUGGUGGCAGGAUUCCACAAACCCAAGCAGACAUUGUAUCCAUAAAACUUCUUCUGCACUAAGAAUAAGCCAUUAACUGGACCAGCAACACACGUGAAAUCAGUGAUCCGAAGCUGAAGGAGAGUUUUUUGUUCAGGGGUCACACCUGGAACAAUUUCUUCAGGGAGCAAGGAGAAUACAACAGACCUUACGAUGGGGUGUACACGUGCUACUUUCAAGAUGCAAACAAGGAGGCGGGCACAAUUAUUCUUGUGAUGAAAAUGUUUUUCUAUGAAACUCGGACUUUUGAUGAGAGCAUACCAGUGCUUGCACACACAUUUGAAACGCAAGAGUGAUUCCACUGGCAAUCUCAAUAGAAUAUCAACUACUAGAUCUUCUGGUAAAGGACGGCGACCAUCCAUACUGGUGGAAAUAUAAGUAGAAUGAGGCAACUUACAAACAUAUUGAAAUAGAAUAGAUCUAGAAAACAUGCAUUAAUAGAACACACAGUGCAACGAAGAAGAUCAAGCAGCAGCAUUACCAAUGUGAAGCAAAAAAGGGGAAGUUACACAUUUGACCACUCGGCCACAAAUAUUUAUAUCCGCAAGCCAAUACACAUAUUAUGGGUAAACAUAUUUUUAAAAAUAUUUUGACAAAAUUUCUUGUAGAUCAAUUUGGGAGAAAAGAUCCAAAAUAGUUCUUUAUGUUUGGCUUCAGACUCAAAGUCAUCCCUUCCCUUUCUUUUAUAUGGUGCACUAAUAGUCCUUUAAGUUUCAAGUGUUAGUGCACUUCUAGUCUCUUGAUUAACAUCCAUUUACUCAUUAACGUUUUGAUCCUUUACACAUCCAUUUAUGGCCUCCGCUGUAUACAUUCUGGUACAAAACAAAUUAAUUCUUAGAUUUAUCUUAGCAAUUGCAGAUGAGUCUUCAUUUGUACUUCGUUUUAUAUUUUGGCUCUGCAUCUUUCAUUGUUUGGUGUGCAGUAUUCAAGAUUUGCUAAUUCUUUAACUUUCUCCUUUAUUUUCGAUACACAAUUAAUAAGCUGACUAAGUCUUUGGGUUUUUCCUGAAUAAAAGUUUCUUGCGCUUUGCCUAUAUAUCUGGAGCAUAACCAAAGAAUAAAUAAAAACAAGAAAAAAGGAAAAAUAUAAUACAUACUUAGUCUUCGUGUAUCAAUAUCUCAAAUUAGCAUCGGAUAAAGGGUGUGUUCCGUAGAAAAUAGUUUCUAAUCAAAAUUUUUGGAAAAGAUUUUCUUAGGAAAACAAGUUCCAUACGUGACACUUCAAAAUUCAAAUGAAGAAAAUGACUUUCUAAAGGAAGUAGGGAAAACAAGUUUCAUAUGUGACAUUUCAAUUGAGUAUGUCCUCCCACUCUCUAAGACACCACAUAUUCACCUCACUCCCGUAGCUUCCAUACCCACUACCCUACACAUCUACCCCACCUCCGUCCCUCAUAGUAUUGUCUAGAUAAUACAUAAAUGCUUUUAGAAUAAUAUUAAAUUUUUUUUGCUUAUAUACCAAACACAAAAUAUACAUAAGAAUCUCACUUAUUUUCCUAGAAAAUAUUUUUCAAAAAAUAUUUUCCUUGGUACCGUACACACCCAAAGUUCCAAUGUCCUCGGAUAAUAUCAGCCAAAUAGAGUCAAUAAGAGGAGACUAGUAAAGAAGUAGUCAUGUGGUUUUCUAGUCUUUUCAUUAACUAGUCAAUAAUUAUUUUUGAGCUACAAAUCAAAUUAGCAUAUAGAGCAAUUUUGCAGGUAAUUUAAGGAGCAUGAAACAGUAAAUACCCUUUUCUGCUAAUAUCAAUCUACAAAUCCUUGGAAAUGGAACAAUUUUAACUUACCCAAUAUUGAAAUGUAAAAGAUGGAAAGAAGUAAAAAGAAUUAGCAUAAACAGAAACAAUGGCAGCAAAACCCUAUAUCCAUCCCCAAACAGCACAAAUUCAGAUUCAGAUUCAAAUUCAAAAUAAUAAUCAGAAAUCUAACCUUAUAAGCUGAUGAAGAAGAAGUGGCGGACAAGGAAAAAAUGGAAAAAGAGAUAUCGGAUCGAUUGAUUGGUGUUGUAGAAAUACCUCAACAGUUGACUACUUCCUCACACUUCUUUCGUCAUUUUAUUUUACUACUUCUUGGGAACGCGUUUGUUCCUCUCCUUUUUUUUUCUCGCGUGUGUUCCUUAUUAUUAUUAAAUUUUUAUAUACUAAAAAGUUGAGUUAUAAAAUAGAAAAUGCUGAAAUUAACAAUAGUAGUUUUAUCAUUUAUAUUUUAUUUACUAAAUAAUAAAAAAUAUAUACUGGAGCAUUUUUUGUUAACCUUCAUUUGUUGUUUCUCACUCUCUUUUCUUCUCAUGUUGAAAUUUGAUUGUGCAAUUACCUUCCUAUGAUAACAUCAAUCUUUGUGAAAUUGGUUCUUAAAAAGCAAAUUCAAAUUUUAAUUUUGGAAGUGUUUUUACAUAAUAGUGGAGAAUGAUUCUUCAUAUUCAACUUUUAAUUUUGAAUUGUAAUGAACAAUUACUAUUCAAAUACAAAUCUAGUUUAUUUUUAACCUUACAUUUAUUGAAUCUUUAAUGUGUACGUUAAUGAUAUAUAAUAAUUUAUUAAUUAGGUAUUUGAUUUAGUGUAGGGGCAAAAUGGUAAUUCAACUAUACACUUUCGAGUUUUCACUUUUAAUAAGUAAUUAUAAUAUAUACAAAAGAUUAAACCAUUUGAUAUUAAAAAAAUAUAUGUAUGAGUAAUAAUUAACAUUCAAUGGCAAAAGAAUGUAUCACAUUCUCAUAAACAAUAUCUCUAAGGCAAAAGUAGACAUUCUAAUUUGGACAAUUACUACUUAACUACUUAUGGGUUCAGCCAAUAAUCUGGAGAUAGGAGUUUGACAAUUUUUCAGCCAUAGUUAAAAUUCUACAUCAAUAAUAAAUAGCUUCUUAUCACAGUAAAUAGACAUUUGAAUAAUUAAUAUAAAUUGAGCAACACAAACUUUUCAAAAUGACUUAUUCUAGAUAUAUAAUAGGGAAAAGGGUCAAAAUUACCCCUCAGUUUUGUUUUAUUGGUUAACUUUAUCCUUACCAUUAAAAACAAGUUAUUUUUACCCCUGUCGUCAAUAAACUUAACAAAUAUACCCCUCCUUGAACGGAAACCCCCAAAUCAAUUGAAAUUACCCGAUUUUAAUUGAAAUUAUCCAAUUUCUUUUUUAACCCGAACUAGAACCCAACCCACUAAACUAAACAAAUUAACCCAUUUCCAAUCUUCUUCAUCUCAGUGUUCUUGGCUAAGUACCCUAAGAACACUCACAAUCUUUAUCAUAGCUAACACAUAAAUCCUACAUUGUCUGACAAAAUCAAUUGAAAAGGUUCGUUGGUUGAAUGUAUAACAAGUAAAUUAUUUUUGCUGAACAACAUCCCGCCUCUCUCUGUUGUGGGGUUCAGCGAAGAACAAGCCACAGAGCAAGUAAAUGGAAAAGUUUCAAUUUACACAUCAUCAUUCAAUCCAAUGAAGAAAACCAUUUCUAGGUACCAACCAAAUUACUUUUUGAUUUGUUGUCAGUAGGCUGCCCCUAAAUGUGUACCCAAUAGUACAUCUAAUUCUUCUUUACCUGGCUCGUAAAUCAAUUCAGUGGCCCUCCAUGAUUCUUGUAUGUGCACGUAAAAUUAAGCUACAAUGGAGGGGAGGUUUUUCUUUUCUCUAUCUUUUUAUUUGUUCAAAAUGUUUCCAAUAUAUCAUCAUAUUUGAUGAGUACUGGAUAUUUGAUGAUUACUGAUUUCUUGUAUGUAGCAAAUCAUGUGAUUGAACGACUGCAGUGUUUAGCCUAGGCAACCUUCAACAAACAAUUUGGAGAUAAAUAUCAGGUCUUUUCGAUUGAUUUUGUUAGACAAUGUAGAAUUUGUGUUAGCUAUGAUAAAGAUUGUGAGUGUUCUUAGGGUACUUAGCCAUGAACACUGAGAUGAAGAAGAUUGGAAAUGGGUUUAUUUGUUUAGUUUAGUGGGUUGGGUUCUGGUUCAGGUUAAAAAAGAAAUUGGAUAAUUUCAAUUAAAAUUGAAUAAUUUCAAUUGAUUUGGGGAUUUCCGUCCAAGGAGGGAUAUAUUUGUUAAGUUUAUUGACGGCAGGGGUAAAAAUAACUUGCUUUUAACGGUAAGAGUAAAAUCAACCAAUAAAAUAAAGUUGAUGGGUAAUUUUGACCCUUUUCUCUAUAUAACAUAUAUGGACAAUUUGAGGAAUGAAUGUUUCAACACAUGAAUAAUAGACUAAUAAGGUCAAUAGAUUAUACAUAUAAAUGAAAAGUUAAAUAAAAAUACAGCCUCAAAAUCACAUACUAUGAUCCAUCAUUUAUCUCCAAUUCGGUGGCCCAGUUUAUUUUAGGGUAUGGAUUCUUUUAUUUUUAAAAAAAAAACAUAUUUGAUUUUUCUCAUUUAGUUAUUCCUCUCCCUACUCAUAAAUAAUAAUCUCGAAAAAAUAUUUUUACUAAAGUAGAACACUCUAUCAAGAGCCAAAUAAACAUAUCAAAUUAACUAAUUAAUCUUUCAUCAAUUAUUGAUAGAACAUGAAUUGUAUAUCACUACUUUCUUCAUGUAGGAUACAAGAUAUUUCAAUAGAAAAACAAAAUCAUAAGAAAGCAUAUCAAAAUAUAAAAAAAGGACAUAUAAAAUACUUUGGCUGGACAAGGAGGAGCGGAUAAAAACAAAAGGAAAUUACUGCACAUACAAAAUGAUGAGCAAGAUUAGUUUUUUGCAGGAUAGUCUCUCAUCCUCCUCUUAUCAUUUACAUGAAAACCAUGCUAGGCAUUUUAUAGCAAUAGCUAGGAUGACCUUUGAGUAGAUAAUUAAUUUGCAUUAAUUUAGUUUAAUGAUUUUAGUCCAUAUCAAAUUUAUUUAAUGGAAAACUCUUCAAAUACUCUUGAUUUUACAGAAAAAGAGAAAUUGACUAUUAAUGUGAAUUUGAUUCAUGUACCAAUUUAAAUGAGUUUAAUCUAAGGAAGUGAAAAAAUCAUUAACAUUUUUAUUAAAACGAUACAAUUUAAUAUUUAAAUUAAAUAGUUAAAUAUUUUAUAACAUUUUAAUUUAUAAUAGGGGUAAAACGGUAAUUCAACUUUUAACUUUUUUUAUUCCCGCUUAUAGUAAUAUAUGAUACAACUCCUCUUAAUUCCUUUUAUCUAAGUUUUUAAUUAUGUGGUGGAGUAAUAAGUACUUAUUCAUUCUUAAUUAGAGGUUCCAGUUUGAGUCUUUUUGGCUAUAAAAUCAUCUCUGUUAGAGCGCUUUACCCAUAAUCUAAGAUUUUUCGACACAAAUUCAAAUUUAGUGAGGCUCUAAUAUGGAUAUCGAACACUGAGGGGAAAAUAAAAAUAAAAAUUACCUUAGGGGUUAUUUGGUAGGUGGAUAAAGCUACAUCUAAUACAUGAAUAACAAAGUUAUUUAUGUAUUUAAUUUAUAUAAUGUUUGUAUAAAAGUUAUUCAUAUAUUAACAAAGAUGUUUCUCUCUACGAUAUGUUCCCACAGGAGAAAGAGUUUGUUACUUGAAGAGGGGGGGGGGGGAUGUUGNNNNNNNNNNNNNNNNNNNNNNNNNNNNNNNNNNNNNNNNNNNNNNNNNNNNNNNNNNNNNNNNNNNNNNNNNNNNNNNNNNNNNNNNNNGAAGGGGGGGGGGGGGUAUUUGGAGUCUUUUAGCCACAGUUCGAAGCCCUGACAUAUCGAUCUCUUUUAGCCACGGUUCAAGGUCCCAACGUAUUUUGUUUUGCCACGGUUCAAGGUCCCGACGUAUUUUAUUUUGCCACGGUUCGAGGCCCCAUCAUAUCUCUAUUCGCCUUGGUUCGAAUCCUAACAUGUGGUUCAUUUGGGUUCUUCGGGGUGCCUUCACCAAAGUUCAAGUCUAGAGUCAGCCAUUUUAAGUUCUUGAAAGCUUUUAAUAUAACUAGUGUUAUUCAUAGUACUUCUGUGUACUUAUCAGGCUUAUGUGAGUCCAAACUCGUUUGAGUUAUUUACUUUCCAAUUGCGCACAGGUAUACAUACUUUCUGGGCUUAUAGGGGUCCAGUUAGGUUAUAGAUAAUUGUUUUACUUUACUACUUUGUUCUUUCCAGACUCGUGAGCUAUAUAGUUAGACUUUCCGUUAUUACUUUGUUCAUUUGACCUCUAAUUACCGUUACAUUCAUAUUUUUCAUAUUGUUUUUACUUUCCAUGCCCAGUCGACCUAUGAUGCUACUGGGCACCUGUUGUUUUGAUAUUAUGCUACACUCCACAUCUGUUUUCUUGAUGUAGAUUUGAGCGCCAGCUGAUAAUGGUGAUUCGAGCCUAAGAAAUGCGGAGAUCUUCUGAGAUGAAGGGUGAGCUGAUGGCAUCCUAGUUCGACUUAUCUCCAUAUGUAUAUAGUUUUUUAAUGUCUUUUGUAUUCGAGACAAGUCUAUUAAGUUAGUGAAUAGCAUAGGCUCGAAACUAUGACUAGAACAUUGAGUGCAUGACAUGCACAUCUUACUCCUUAUUUUCCCUAUUCGUACCUGUUUUUUUCAUACUUUCUAACUUCACUGGUACAUUAUUCCUUGUUAAGGAAAAUUAUGUAAACAACUAGUUCUUUGAUUGAUACAACUAAUUCACAUUAAAUAAUAACUAGAAUCUUAUUACAUUUUUGAACUGUUAAACUAGAAACAAGAUUUAGGAUAAGGGAACUAUUUAUUAACUUCACUUCUCCUUAUUAGUGUCAAAAGUUUCUCGUUUAGGAAAUAUGAAGUUUUGAAGGACUAAUAGUAUAUUAUCCUUUUUUAAAAUUGAACUCUAUCCAAUGGUUGAUUCUAUUUAUGAAUCAAUUCCUUAGGUGCAUUAUUUCCAUAGGUUUCAACAUUGGUAACAAAAUCUAGCUUUCUCGCUUAAAUUGACAUAUUUCUAUACUUCCCUCAUCUUAUCUAUCACUGAGGCCGCUCCCAUCUUAUCCCUUAUAUCCUUAUUUAUAAUUUUUAUCGCUCCGAGUAUGAACGUGCAUCCACCUCAAUAUAUAUUCACAUCUCUGCAACAUGCAUCUUCUAGACAUGGGACUUGACUGGCCAACUCUCAUUUCCAUACAACAAUUACAUACACACUCUAUAUAAAUACACACAUACAUAUAUUGAUGGAAAAAUCAUCAACAGAUGAAACUUAAGCAAUACUCCCUCCAUCUCAAUUAAUGUGACAGUCGGAAUUUUGUCUUUUAAAUUGUUAAUUAUUGUGAUUUACCAUUUUUCACAUAAUUUUCAAAUACAUAAAUUUUAUAUCAAAAAAACUUAAAGUUUCUGUAUCCGAAUUUACUAUUAAAUUAUAGAAGUUUGAAUCUCAAAAUUUCAACUAAUGCCACAUAAAUUAAAUCAACUCCAACACUCAGAAAAGCUACAAAAGUUCAAACAUAGAAAGUAAAAAAAAAUUUAAAAAAGAAAUAGAAAAAACCUUGAGAUAAUAUGUCUUGCUAAUUUCCUCUUCAGAUGCUAAUUAAAGGACUUACACCAAGAACAUCAUAAUACUCUGUGUCUUUCACCAUUUUCUUUUCUUUUUCCAAAAUCCCUAUUAACAAAAAAUUUACUCUUUUACCUCCUCCAAUACUCUAAUUACCUUUUUUUUCGCGCUUCUAAAAUCUUAAUACAAGAGCGAAAAACCACUUGAGUGUAAGGAAAGGAAACAAGCCAAACGAAAAAAAAAAAAAAAACUCUCAAAAUUAUAUGAUCAAGAAAACUUGCAAGUACAAAAGGAGAAAGAGGAGGGGGUGGGUGGGGUAUGAUGAAAAGAAUGUCUCAGAAUAAGAGAGUGCCCCAACGAGACAAAGCUGCCUUUCCAGUUCUGAUCAACAAAUUAAUUACGGAAAAUCUGUUGCUUGUCGAUACUCUAAAAGCAGUGUAUUUUUGGAAUUAAGAGGAGUUGUAUAAACUAAAAUGACAAAAGAAGUGUAGGAAAGUGAGGAAGUAGUCAACUGUUGAGGUAUUUCAACAACACCACUCAAUCAAUCCAAUAUCUCUUUUUCCAUUUUUACCUUGUCGUAAUUGCGGCACUUCUUCUUCAUCAGCUUAUAAGGUUAGAUUUCUGAUUAUUUUUUUGAAUCUGAAUCUGAAUCUGAAUUUGUGCUAUUUGGGGAUGGAUAUAGGGUUUUGCUGCCAUUGUUUCUGUUUAUGCUAAUUUUUUUUAUUUCUUUCCAUCUUUUACAUUUCAAUAUUGGGUAAGUUAAAAUUGUUUCUUUUCCAAGGAUUUGUAUAUUGAUAUUAGUAGAAAAGGGUAAUUACUGUUUCAUGCUCCUUAAAUUACCUGCAAAAUUGUUCUAUAUGCUAACUUGAUAUGUAGCUCAAAAAUACCUAUUGACUAGUUAAUGAAAAGUCUAGAAAACCACAUGACUACUUCUUUACUAGUCUCCUCUUAUUGACUCUAUUUGGCUGAUUAUUGAUCCGUCCAACCCAUUUCAACCCAAAUCGAAAGAAAAAAUCCAAGAUAGUCCUUUAUUUUUGGCUUUAGAUUCGAAAUCAUCAAUUGAUGCACUAAUAGUCCUCCAAAGUUUUAAGUAUUAGUGCACUUUUAUCUGAUGCUAAUUUGAGAUAUUGAUACACGAAGACUAAGUAUGUAUUAUAUUUUUCCUUUUUUCUUGUUUUUAUUUUAUUCUUUGGUUAUGCUCCAGAUAUAUAGGCAAAGCACAAGAAACUUUUAUUCCGGAAAAACCCAAAGACUUAUAGUCAGCUUAUUAAUUGCUUAUGGAAAAUAGAAGAGAAAGUUAAAGAAUUAGCAAAUUUUGAAUGGUGCACACCAAACAUUGAAGAUGCAGAGCCAAAAAAUAAAACAAGUACAAAUGAAGACUCAUCUGCAAUUGCUAAGAUAAAUCUAACAAUUAAUAUGUUUUGUACCAGAACGUAGACAGUGGAGGUUAUAAAUGGGUGUGUAAAGGAUCAAAACGUUAAUGAGUAAAUGGAUGUUAAUGAAGAGACUAAAAAUGCACUGACACUUGAAACUUAAAGAACUAUUAGUGCACUAUAUAAAAGAAAGGGAAGGGAUGACUUUGAGUCUGAAGCCAAACAUAAGGAACUAUUUUGAAUCUUUUCCAAACAAUGUUAAGCUCAAACACAAUGUUAUAAAAAGGUAAGAUAAGAACUAAUGUCACAAUAUUACAGGUAAAUCGUUUUUUUUUCCUGUUUUUCAAUUUUUAUCACUAUAAUAUUCUGUAUGUCAAACUCUAAGAUCCUCAUCCAUUGGUAUGGUAUAGAAGUAGUGUUCAAUUUGCUCGACUGCAUUAUCCUCACCCUGAGUCUCGUUUCCUCUCUUUAUUGGAACUAGGCUCUCCUUGUAAUUGAAAACCCAACAGCCAGAAAAGAUAAGGUCCAGCUGAAAUCCAAGAUCUGUAACUUGUCUUGUUUCAGGGUUAUAUAGCACUAGCUGUGAAGUUUCUGUGAUCUCGAAAACCAUCUUAUCGUUAUCCCAGAUGUUGUAAGGCCAAUGAGCAUCUAUAUGAGGUUGAAGAGUAAGAACUUUGGACCAAUUUCCCCCUUGUUUCAUUACCCACACAUCGUAUAUGGAUGUCAUUGGUUUGCCAGGGUCACCGGUUAAUAUAGCAAGUGAGCCGCCAUGCAAUGUAAGCUUCCCCCAAUGUUCACUUGGAAUAUCUGGGACUUGCAUCUCCCCAAACUGUUCGCUGCCCAUGUCAAAAGAGUGAAUCGUGUAGAUGUCAUCAAGGCCCAUAGAAAGCCCAUAAUAAACCCCGUUGAGAUAAGUGGCGUCAAGGGGUGCAGAUAAGGUAGAACUGGGAGGGAAUUCAGGAGUAAGGUGUUUCCAUGAAUUGUUGCAUGAGGAAUAGACAUAGGCAUAGACACGAUUAUUAGCACCUUGUCCCGGUUCAUCCCAGAACACUCGAAUCCAUACAACCUUAAAAUCUUGAGUCAACAGGUCAAAUCCCAAUCCGAACUGAUGAUCAUGGUUCGGGAAAAAGGCCUCAAUCUCAAUAGGCGCAGGAGGCAGAGACCUGAACUCUCUAGUGGCAGGAUUCCACAAACCCAAGCAGAUAUCGUCUCCAAACUUCUUCUGCACUAAGAAUAAGCGAUCAACUGGACCAGCAAGACACGUGAAAUCAGUGAUCCUCGGAAGCUGAAGGAGAGUUUUUUGUUCAGGGGUCACACCUGGAACAAUUUCUUCAGGGAGCAAGGAGAAUACAACAGACCUUACGAUGGGGAGUACUUCACAUGCUACUUUCAAGUUGCAAACAAGGAGACGGGCACAAUUGUUCUUGUGAUGAAAAUGUUUUUCUAUGAAACUCGAACUUUUGAUGAGAGCAUACUAGUGCUUGCACACACAUUUGAAACACAAGAGUGAUUCCACUGGCAAUCUCAAUAGAAUAUCAACUACUAGAUCUUUUGGUAAAGGACGGCGACCAUCCAUACUAGUGGAAAUAUAAGUAAAAUGAGACAACUUACAAACAUAUUGAAAGAGAACAGAUCUAGAAACAUGCUUUAAUAGAACACGCAGUGCAACGAAGAAGAUCAAGCAGCAUCAUUACCAUGUGAAACAAAAAAGGGGAAGUUGCACAUUUGAUCACUCAGCCACAAAUAUUUACAUCAGCAAGCCAAUACACAUAUAUUAUGGGUAUACAUAUUUUUAAAAAUAUUUUGACAAUUUCUUGUAGAUCAAUUUGGGAGAAAAGAUCCAAAAUAGUUCCUCAUGUUUGGCUUCAGACUCAAAGGAUGGAGUAAUAAGUACUUAUUCAUUGUUAAUUAGAGUUCUCGGGUUUGAGUCUUUUUGGCUAUGAAGUCAUCUGUGUUAGGGAGCGCUUUACCCACAAUGUGAGAUUAUUCAGCACAAAUUCAAAUUUAGUGGGGGAUCUAAUAUGGAUACCAAACACCGAGUGGAAAACCAAAAAUAAAAAUAAAAAUGACCUUAGGGGUCAUUUGAUAGGUGGAUAAAGCUACAUUUAAUACAUGAAUAACAAAGUUAUUUAUGUAUUUAAUUUAUAUAAUAUUUUGUUUGUAAAAUGUUGUAUAAAAGUUAUUCGUGUAUUAACAAAGAUGUUUAUCUCUACGAUAUGUUCCCGCAGGAGAAAGAGUUUGUUAUUUGAAGAGGGGGGGGGGGUAUUUGGAGUCUUUUAGCCACAGUUCGAAGCCCUGGCGUAUCUCUUUUAGCCACGGUUCAAGGCCCCAACAUAUUUUUUUGGCACGGUUCGAGGCCCCAACAUAUCUCUAUUCGCCUUGGUUUGAAUCCUAACAUGUGGUUCAUUUGGGUUCUUCGGGUGCCUUCGCCAUAAUUCAAGUCUGGAGUCGGCCAUUUCAGUUCUUGAAAGCUUUUAAUCUAGCUAAUGUUAUUCAUAGUACUUCCGUGUACUUAUCGGACUUAUGUGAGUCCAAACUUGUUUGAGUUAUAUAUUUACUUUCUAAUUGUGCACGAGUAUACAUACUUUCUGGGCUUAUAGAGGUCCAAUUAGGUUAUAGAUUAUUGCUUUACUUUACUACUUUGUUCUUUUUAGACUCGUGAGCUAUAUAGUUAGACUUUCCGUUAUUGCUUUGUUCAUUUGACCUCUAAUUAUUGUUACUUUCAUAUUCUUCAUAUUGUUUUUACUUUCCAAGCUCAGUCGACCUAUGAUGCCUACUGGGCACCUGUUGUUCUGAUAUUCAUGCUACACUCCACAUCUGCUUUCUUGAUGUAGAUUUGAGCGCCUGCCGACAACAGUGAUUCGAGCCUAAGUAAUGCGGAGAUCUUCUGAGAUGAAGGGUGACCUAAUGGCGUCCUAGUUCGACUUAUCUCCAUAUGUAUAUAAUUUUUUCCUAUCUUUUGUAUUCGAGACAAGUUUAUUAAGUUAGUCAAUAGCAUAGGCUCGAAACUAUGACUAGAACAUUGAGUGCAUGACAUGCACAUCUUACUCCUUAUUUUCCUUAUUCGUACCUAUUUUUGUUCAUACUUUCUAAAUUUCACUAGUACAUUAUCCCUUGUUAAGGAAAAUUAUGUAUCCAGAAUAGUAAAUGGUCUGAUCCACUUAAGAGUGAAGGCUAGUUCAUUGAUUGAUACAUCUAAAUCACAUUAAAUAAUAUAUAUUACAUUUUUGAACUGUUAAACUAGAAACAAGAUUUAGGAUUUUUCAAGUGGACCAAAAUACAGAUAUUGAUGCAGAGUACUUAAAGUCUGUUGCUUGCCGAUACUCUAAAAGUAGUGUAUUUUUGGAGAAUCUAACAUGAGUGGAGAGUACAUGCGCAACUUAGCUUAAAAUGUGUUGGUCCAAAAGGAAUGCCCCUUGAUACCAUAAACAAAAAAUACCAUGUUUGCUUUUUAUUCAAUAAUAGUACAAAGAUGACUGAUCCAAACAAUUUUAAGCUCAAACACAAUGUUAUAAGGUAAGAAAAGAACUAAUGUCACAAUAUUACAGGUAAAUCGUUUUUUUUCUUCUUCCUGUUUUUCAAUUUUUAUCAGUAUAAUAUUAUGUAUUACAAAUCUUUAAGAUCCUCAUCCAUUGGUAUGGUAUAGAAGAAGUGUUCAAUUUGCUCGACUGCAUUAUCCUCACCCUGAGUCUCGUUUCCUCUCUUUAUUGGAGCUAGGCUCUCCUUGUAAUUGAAAACCCAACAGCCAGCCAUGUUAAGGUCCAGCUGAAAUCCAAGAUCUGUAACUUGUCUUGUUUUAGGGUCAUAUAGCACCAGCUGUGAAGUUUCUGUGAUCUCGAAAACCAUCUUAUCGUUAUCCCAGAUGUUGCGAGGCCAAUGAGCAUCUAUAUGAGGUUGUACAGUUAGAACUUUGGACCAAAUUCCCUCUUGUUUCAAUACCCACACAUCAUAUAUGGAUGUCAUAGGUUUGCCUGGGUCACCGGUUAAUAAAGCAAGUGAGUUGCCACGCAGUGUAAGCGUCCCCCAAUGUUCACUUGGAAUAGCUGGGACUUGCGUCUCCCCAAACUGCUCGCUGUCCAUGUCAAAAGUGCGAAUCGUGUAGAUCUCAUCAAGGCCCGUACAAAGCCAAUAAUAAACACCGUUGAGAUAAGUGGCGUCAAGGGGUGCAGAUAAGGUAGAACUGGAAGGGAAUUCAGGAGUAAGGUGUUUCCAUGAAUUGUUGCAUGAGGAAUAGACACAGGCAUAGACACGAUUAUUAGCACCUUGUCCCAGUUCAUCCCAGAACACUCGAAUCCAUACGACCUUAUAAUCUAGAGUCAACAGGUCAAAUCCCAAUCCCAACUGAUGAUCAUGGUGCGAGAAAAAGGCCUCAAUCUCAAAAGGCGCAGGAGGCAGAGACCUGAACUCUCUGGUGGCAGGAUUCUACAAACCCAAGCAGACAUCGUCUUCAUAAAACUUCUUCUGCACUAAGAAUAAGCCAUCAACUGGACCAGCAACACACGUGAAAUCAGUGAUCCUCUGAAGCUGAAGGAGAGUUUUUUGUUCAGGGGUCACACCUGGAACAAUUUCUUCAGGGAGCAAGGAGAAUACAACAGACUUUACGAUGGGGUGUACUUCACGUGCUACUUUCAAGUUGCAAACAAGGAGACGGGCACAAUUGUUCUUGUGAUGAAAAUGUUUUUCUAUGAAACUUGGACUUUUGAUGAGAGCAUACCAGUGCUUGCACACACAUUUGUAACGCAAGAGUGAUUCCACUGACAAUCUCAAUAGAAUAUCAACUACUAGAUCUUCUGGUAAAGGGCGGUGACCAUCCAUACUGGUGGAAAUAUAAGUAAAGUGAGAAAACUUACAAACAUAUUGAAAGAGAACAGAUCUAUAAACAUGCUUUAAUAGAACACACAAUGCAACGAAGAAGAUCAAGCAGCAACAUUACCAUGUGAAACAAAAAAUUGUAAGUUACACAUUUGACCACUCGGCCACAAAUAUUUACAUCAGCAAGCCAAUACACAUAUAUUAUGGGUAUACAUAUUUUUAAAAAUAUUUUGACAAAAUUUCUUGUAGAUCAAUUUGGGAGAAAAGAUCCAAAAUAGUUCUUCAUGUUUGGCUUCAGACUCAAAGUCAUCCCUUCCCUUUCUUUUAUAUGGUGCACUAAAUAGUUUCAUUUUCUGGCAUUCGAAAUCCUUUUUAUUACAGUUCUAUAUUUGAUUCUGUAUCAUAUAUAUAUAUAUAUAUAUUUAUCCCUGUCGUCGCCUUAGAUUCAUUGGCCUGAAUUUGAACAUUUAUGUAGCUCGGAACACUCAAAUAUCCGCCGCACUAUACCUUGAUUGCUUUUGACUACAUCUAUGACCAGUAAGUACAAGAUUGAUUGGGUAUUUGGUUUGAUUUUUGAGUUUGUCAUAUAUAUACAUAUGAAGCACUUUGUUAUUACACGAUAUAUCUUAUGAAUAAUAUAGGCAAUGUUUAUGAAGAAUUAGUUUUUAAAAGUUUUAGUUCAAUAACUUUGAUUAAUAUAUAUACUUGUAUGUGUUUGUAUAUACAUUUAUUUCUGGUAUCUCAGCACAUGUAUCAUACCCCAAAUCCUAAAAUUCAUGUGAUGAAGAAUUUGACUUUUAGAUCCGCAACCGUUUUGGGUCCAAGCAAUUUUCUUGUGUUAGAAUCUAAAAGCUGAUUUUCAUUUCUAAAAUCGUAAGUUAAGAAACGAAAGAAAAAAAAAAUACAGAUUUCCAUCUUAAAAAUUUGAAGUCUUCCCAUUUUCUAGUGAACAAGCGGUGAUUUGCUUUUCUAAUUUUUUCCUCACUUUUAAAAAGUGUCUUUUUCCUUAUAGGAAAUAUUUUCCAAAACAUUUGAUCAACCGAACAUAGCAAAAUUGGAAAACAUGUAUCGAACACACACAGAUAAAUACAGAUUUCCAUUUUAAGUCUUCCCAUUUCUUAGUAAAGAAGUGGUGAUUUACUUUUCUAAUCUUUUUAUUAGGCAAUCAAUGAUUUUCUUUUUGUAUUUUCAACGUGGAAUGUUACUAGUGCAACUUAUUUUCCCUACUUUCAUCAUAGAAGUAAUUUAAUCACUUUUAAGGAGUUUGUUUUCUAUAGAAAAUAGUAUUUUCUAAAACAUUUGACCAACGAAAAAAAAGAGAAAAUUGAAAAACAUGUAUCGAACACAACCUACAUCAAUUUUGAAACAGAAAGAGAGAAAUGAAAAGUGAAAAAUGGUGGAAGGAGACAUAUAUAUGUGCCAUCUAAUUUAAGAGCAAAAGCAUAACGUAGAGAAAGAGAGCAGCAAAACACAAAUACAGAAAAUUGAAAUCUAACCUGAGGAAGAAGAGCCGUAAAUGAGAAAUGAGAGUAGUGAAGAAGAGGCAAAAAGCUUUGUCUAUUUAUACUACCUACUAAUUAAUUUAGGACCAAAAAUUUCCAAAGUAUUUUUUUUCUUAGAUUUUGUGUCUAGUCAAAAGAAUGUCAUUACCACUAAGCCCAUUUUCUCAUCUAAUUAAUUAUUGUCUCUAUUGCAAGAGUUUUAUUUGAGGUGUUUCACACCCUUUAAGAAAAGUAGAUUAAGACAUAAAUUGAACAUACUUUUCCAUUUUUACCCUUAUUAAUUAUUGUCAAAUUUAUUGAAGUCAUCACAUUGAAAAUCCAAAUGAAGGGUAAAAUUGGAAGAAUAUUUUAAAAAUAGUCUUGAAGAUUGAACAAUUAAGUUAAUUUGAAAAAUGGAAAAUGCCUCAAAAAUUCAAUUAAUAUGGAAUGAAGGGAGCAUACUAUAAGUGGGAAGCUCCUAAUCUCAAAGUUGAUACAAAAAUACCUUUUACUAUUUUUUUUAUUAAAUAAAUAAUUAAAGUUAAUUAGACCAAAUUUACAUGAUUAGCUGUUAGAGUUUAUCAUUUCUUAAUGAGGCUUUAAUUGUUAUCCUUUGAGCUUCUUCCAUUUACACUUAUUCAAACAGUAGUUUAAUGCUUCACACUUAAGUUAUGAUUCUUCUACCUUUCAUCCUCCGCAUUAUUCUUUCAUCUUCCGCAUUAAUAAUUUUCUCUUAAAACCUUUUCUUAUUCCUUACAUUGCAAUACUCUCUAAAAGCUUACAAGAAGUUGUCUUAGCCCUAUUAUUCUAUUUGUGUUCUAUCGGUCAGAAAUUUCCCUUUUUCAGGUAUAUCUAUGAUUUAUAUGUAUCUAUAUGUGGUUUAAAUCUCAUUCUUGAGAUGGUAUAUGUUAUUUAAUAUUAAAAUAUAAUUAUCUUUUAAGUUGGAAUUAUUUGUCCCAAUGAAAGAUUUAGUAAUGUACAAUACACUUUUCACUGAAUGUUAUAAACACGGAGAUUAAUUGUUUUAAAUGGAUAUACUUCCGUGCAUAUUGUCAGAGAGUAAUUCCUUUAAUACUUUGUUAAUUUUAUUCUGUUAGAAAUUUAAUUUAUUAUCUACUUGAAUAUUGCAAUUUGGUGUAGAAGCUUUUAGAUUAAAGGACUUUUUAAUCGUUUUUAAACUGAAAGACUACAUCAUGUUUGCAUAAGAAAAAGUUCAAAUGAAAUUCAAAUAAAAAUAUCAAUUUAUCAAUUUUUCGUUCUCCAUAUAUAGGUUUUAUUGACGGGAUGCUAGGUAUCCAAACAACCUCUCUUUUUAAAGAAAUAAAUUUUCUCUAUCUUUUUAUGACAAAUGAAGAAAUUUUCUCUAUCUUUGUUAUGACAAAUGUUAUAGGCUUAGACUUUGAUCUUCAUCUUCAAUUAUUAUUACAUACAAUUUAUAAUUAACUUGCUACAAUGGGCAUAUCACUUACGUUAUUAUAUAUUAAUACUUAGCGAUAAAUUCUUCUUUCUAUAGGUCAUUUUUGAAAAUGCUUAAAGUAAAAAAUGAUAUUAAUAUAAAAAAUUGUGUCGCAUAUAAGUUGAUACAAAAAAACACCAAGAACUAGAUAGAUAACAAUAGAUCUACAAUAAAAGUUUUGAUCAUGAUAAAGAAAUUGAAACAUCGAAGUAGAACAUAUACAAUUAAAAAUAACAUCUAUAAGAAAGUAUUAGGUAAAUAUAAUUAUAUCACAUAUUUACACCUAAUAGUAUUACUAAUGAACUCAUUUUAUACUGUGCAUAUCUAACUAAAUUAUAUGGGUACACUUUUCAAGUUUAGAUGACAUCGAAUAAUCAACUCAAUUUUUUGACUAUUCUUUAAAUUGAGCAUGUAAGUCUUUUCAUAUUAAAUUUUCUAUUUAUCAUUAUACACAUAUUUUAAUAUUAUCUUUAUCUAUAUAUAUACUAAUUUACACCGGAGAUAACACUUAUUAGAGACAUUUUUUGAUUAUCUAGAUUGUUAUAAAUGAUAUUACCAAUUAAAUUAGGAUACAGGUGCAUGACACGUGGCCAGAAACUAGUACAGUAAAACCUCUAUAAAUUAAUACUCGGUAAAUUAAUAAUCUCUCUAAAGUAAUAUUUUUCUCCGGUCCCGACUUGGGCCAAUGAAAAAAAUUCUCAAUUUCGAUAAGAUAAUAAGAUAUAUAUUUCCAGAAGACCCCUAUAUAAAUAUAUGGUCCCAUUGAUAUCAUAAAUUAAUAAUUCUUUAAAAGUACAAAUAUAUCUAAGACAAUUUAGUGAAAUAUGAUUCUAUUGUGUUCUGUUUUUUUCUUAAAAUUUAAAUCUAGUUGAAACUCAUCUCUAACUUUUCUUAUUGCAUCCAAGAGCUCCGAUAUUAUCUUUUCGAACUGCACUAUAAAAUUGUGAAGAGUUCUAGAUGCGAUAAGUGCUUCAUUACGCGCAACUGGUUCCAAAGGUAUAAUAUCAUCUUCAACUUCAUCAACAACAUUGCUUUUUCCGAUGGUAUCUGUAACACCCGUAACUAGAAAGAACUAAAAAGGAAUUUUUAAAAAGAGGAAAUAGUCAUUUUUGGAAAGUAUAAAAAUUUUGAAAUUUUCAAGUGUGUUAAAGUUGAGUUUUUGGUCAACUUCAAAUAACCAUAACUUCUAGCUCAUGAUGAGUUAGGUGUGUUUCCAAAUAUCUUAGAAAUAUCUUGGAAUAAUCUUUCCAACGCCGCCAAGUUUACGCGAUUCCGAGUUCGUAUGAGUGAGUUAUUCCCUUUGGAAGUUGGGCUGUUCAAAUAAUAAUGUCCAAUCCGGAUUUUUAAAGGGUGUUUUGGUCUUUUCCAUACCCUAUUAUUUUAGUUCGUUUUUGGUGAAUUAAUUAAGGGUCAAAACUGAAUUGGUUCAGUUUAGGCAAUUGGAGAUUUAUGCUAGGGUUUUUGGAGAAAGAACGCAAGAGGAGAAAAGAGGAGAAAGAGCAAAGUUCGUCGUUCUUGAAGGUUUAGCUUGUGGAUUUCGACAAGGGUUGAUCCCUAAAGAGGUAUGUGAGUCUUUCAUAGCAUUGAGUUCGUUCACUUACGGGCCAAUCAUGUUUAUUUCAUCGUAAAUUCGUCCUAAAAGAGUUUGAAAGUUGAUGUUCUUGACAUCUGUUCUUGAAUUUGAUAUUAUUCUUGAGUUGAGCUGAAAUUGAGAAGUUUCUGAGAUCAUUACGUCAAAUUAUUGAGUUGGUUGAAGUUAGGAUUUUAGGUACAUUUGCUGGGUAUCUGUAUCUAAAAAGAAUUUGGGAAAAAGAAUCGAAUUUGGGCGAAUUAGGGUUGGAAAAUGAAGAAGAAAAUUCGUCGGGCAAAUCUGGGAUCAUUACGUCAAAUUAUUGAGUUGGUUGAAGUUAGGAUUUUAGGUACAUUUGCUGGGUAUCUGUAUCUAAAAAGAAUUUGGGAAAAAGAAUCGAAUUUGGGCGAAUUAGGGUUGGAAAAUGAAGAAGAAAAUUCGUCGGGCAAAUCUGGGCACUGGUUCCGCGUCGUGGACCUGCUCCCCAGAUUUAAGAAAAGUCAUUUCGCGUUGCGGUCAUUGACCGUUCUGCCUCAAAAAGUAUUUUUGCGACCAAAAUUUAAAUACGCCUCCGCGUCGUGGACUAGUUUCCAGGCAGUGAUUUCUUGAUCAUUUCUCAUGUUUAGCUAUCUAAAAUCAUUCCUAAACAUCAUGAGAUCUUUCCUGUCACAAAUCUCAAUCCUUGAACCCACAAUUCAAUUCAAGGAGCAGUUAAUAGUCAAGAGAAGUUCAUAGAGUCUUCCAAGGGUCUUUUACAAAUAUUUUAACUUUGUNNNNNNNNNNNNNNNNNNNNNNNNNNNNNNNNNNNNNNNNNNNNNNNNNNNNNNNNNNNNNNNNNNNNNNNNNNNNNNNNNNNNNNNNNNNNNNNNNNNNNNNNNNNNNNNNNNNNNNNNNNNNNNNNNNNNNNNNNNNNNNNNNNNNNNNNNNNNNNNNNNNNNNNNNNNNNNNNNNNNNNNNNNNNNNNNNNNNNNNNNNNNNNNNNNNNNNNNNNNNNNNNNNNNNNNNNNNNNNNNNNNNNNNNNNNNNNNNNNNNNNNNNNNNNNNNNNNNNNNNNNNNNNNNNNNNNNNNNNNNNNNNNNNNNNNNNNNNNNNNNNNNNNNNNNNNNNNNNNNNNNNNNNNNNNNNNNNNNNNNNNNNNNNNNNNNNNNNNNNNNNNNNNNNNNNNNNNNNNNNNNNNNNNNNNNNNNNNNNNNNNNNNNNNNNNNNNNNNNNNNNNNNNNNNNNNNNNNNNNNNNNNNNNNNNNNNNNNNNNNNNNNNNNNNNNNNNNNNNNNNNNNNNNNNNNNNNNNNNNNNNNNNNNNNNNNNNNNNNNNNNNNNNNNUUAGAUGAUUCUUUAGUGCUUUUUAGCAUAGACUAGUGGAUCCACUUAGUAGUUUAGGUUCUAUACUCAUGGCAAGGUAUAUGAUGUCCUUGGCAGUGUGAGGCAAAACGUUGUAUCAUCACAAUAUCUCUUAAGUGAUGGUUGUCGGUUAGAGAAACUCCCACACAAGUAUUUUGUAUUCUUAUAUACACAGAUUAUUUGUAAUUUCAUAUAAAAUAGAGUUCAUAUUGUAUCUUUGCAUACAUACAAAGUUAUUAUUGUAUUUCUAGAUACAUAGAGUUUCUUUCCAUGUUUUAAAAGCUUUUCUUUAUAUUGCAUUUAUAUUACUGCUUUAGUUGAGUUGAGACUAGGUUUGUCGUACAUUCCAUGUACUGAUGCCAGUUGGCCUGCAUCGUUUUAUGAUGCAGACGUAGGUAACUAGGAUCAACAUCCAGUGCAUCGUUGAUCCAGUUGAGCACUCAGAGUCUGGUGGUGAGCCUCCUUUGCUUUUCCGGAGGAUCCCCUUUUUAUUGCUUUCAGUAUUUGAUUUCAUUAGGAUGUCGUGGGUCUUGUCCCGACAUCUAUAUCAGUUUUAGAGGCUUCAUAGAUAGACAAUCAGAUGUUAGUUAUUUUAGUAAUUUCAUUGUCAUUAUCUUAUGUUGAGACUUGUGUUUGCCUUAAUGGCCAGUUGAAUGUUCAUUUAUAACAUUCCAGUUUAUUACAUAGAUUUAUCUUUGUUGAGUUAAGUCUUCCGCUGAGUAAGUAAGCCAGGCCAAGGGUUUUCUUGGGGCCAACAAUGGUUCUCGAGUGCUAGCCACGUUUGGGGUGUAGGCUCGGGGUGUGAAAAACUUGGUAUCAGAGCAUAGAGUUCAAGAGUCCUAGGGAGUCUAUGAAGCCGUGUCUGUAGAGUCCUAGUUAUCGGUGUGAAGCGCGCCACAUCUAUAAUAGGAGGAUGCAACAUUUAGGAACUAUCUCACUUCUUUCACAUCCAUUUCGUGCGAUAAAGUUAAUCUCUAUAAAGUUUCUUCCAAUUCGUGGUUGUGCGUGUAUUUCAGAUCAUGCCUCUACGAAGAGCUGUCAAAGGUCGUCCGACUAGAAGGAAGGUUGAACCACAGGAACAAGGGGUACCUAAUGCACUAGAAGUGUAACCCCAAUGAGACGUCACCAAUGCUGAGUUCCUUGAGGCCAUUCAGAUGUUGAGCCAAGUUGUGACCAACCAAGCUGGGCAACAGAGAGAGAAUCUUCAGGAAGUGGCUGAUACUUCUAGAGUUUAUGAGUUCUUAAAGAUGAAUCCUCCAAACUUCACAAGUUCAAGUGUCAGCUUUAGACCUAAGGGGAGAUGACGAGAUGAAAAAUCAAGUCAAGUGUUUGAGAAUAAGAUAGUAAUGAGUCCCAAAAAGUAUGGGAGAUAUCUUUUCAGAAGACUUUUAGUAGUGAAGUGAUGUUAAAAGGAAAAGGCUAAUGAUCCAUGUGCAACAAGUUGAGGAGGACAAGCUGAGGGAUAGAGAAUAGUUUAAGAAUAAGAGGGCGAAGACAUCAGGGAAUGAGUCCGGGUGGCAGAAGAGUAAUGCCAACCGGUCUUCCUUCCAACAGAAACAAAAGUGACCUGCUCCAUCAUCUACUAGUGCACCUGUACCAAGAAACAAAUGUGAGUACAAUAGUCAGAAUUCCCAGAAUUUUAGAGCUAGACCUGCACAUUCUCAAGGCAGUGUUGCAUAAGGAGGUAAUGAGACUCAUGCAUAUGCUAAGUGUGGUCGGAACCACUUAGGGGUGUGACGGGAUGACUCCACUGGUUGCUUCAAGUGUGGUCAAGACAAUCAUUUUAUGAGAGAGUGUCCUGAGAACAGGCAGGGUAAUGGUAAUGGGAGACAAUAGAGCCCAGUCUUCUUCAGUUGCUCCACCAGACAGAGCUGCACCUAGAGGAGCUACUUCAAGUACUGGCGGAGGAGCAAACCACCUAUAUGCUAUCACUAGUCGCCAAGAGCAAGAGGAUUCACCAGAUGUUGUUACUGGUAUGAUCCAAGUCUUUAACUUUGACGUUUACGCUUUGCUAGAUCCAGGAGCGAGUUACCAUUUGUAACUCCAUAUGUUUCUAUGAAUUUCAAUUAUAUUCUGAGCAACUUAGUGUACCCAUCAGUGUUUCUACACCUGCUAGUGAGUUUAUUCUAGUAGAAAAAGUCUAUCGUGAUUGUUCCAUUUUCGUUAAUCACAAGAGUACCAUGACUGAUUUAGUUGAGUUAGACAUGGUAGAUUUUGAUGUCAUUCUAGGUAUGGAUUGGCUUCAUGCCUGUUGUGCCUCAGUUGAUUGUAGAACUCGAGUUAUCAAGUUUCAGUUUCCAAAUGAGCCAGUCUUAGAGUGGAAAAGUAGUUCAACAAUGCCUAAGGGUCGUUUCAUUUCAUACCUUAAGGCAGGAAAGUUAGUUUCCAAGGGGUGUGUCUAUCACUUAGUCCGAGUUAAUGACUCUAGUGUUGAGAUACCUCUUAUUCAGUCAGUUCCAGUAGUAAAAAAGUCUCCAGAAGUCUUUCUAGAUGAUCUACCCGUAGUCCCUCAUGAGAGAGAAAUAGACAUCGGUAUAGACCUUCUUCUAGAUACUCGUCCUACAUCUGUUCUGCCAUACUGAAUGGCACCAGUAGAGUUAAAAGAGUUGGAAGAGCAGUUGAAAGAUCUCCUUGAUAAAGGCUUUAUUCAACCAAGUGUCUCACCUUGGGGAGCUCCGGUCUUAUUUGUGAGAAAGAAAGAUGGUUCCCUUAGGAUGUGUAUAGAUUACCGUCCGUUGAACAAGGUUACCAUCAAGAACAAGUAUCCUCUUCCGAGAAUUGAUGAUUUUUUCGAUCAACUUCAGCGUGCCACCUGUUUCUCUAAGAUAGAUCUCAAAUCUGGCUACCAUCAGUUAAGAGUAAGAGAAUGUGAUAUUCCAAAGACAACUUUCAGAACCCGUUAUGGUCAUUAUGAGUUUCUAGUCAUGUCCUUUUGUUUGACCAAUGUGCCUGCAACAUUCAUGGACCUUAUGAAUAGAGUAUUCAAACCUUAUUUAGAUAUGUUUGUUAUCGUCUUCAUUGAUGACUUACUAAUCUAUUCAAGAAAUGAAGAAGAUCAUGCUAGUCAUCUCAUAAUAGUUCUCCAGACCCUAAAAGAUAAAAAAGUUGUAUGCUAAGUUCUCGAAAUGUGAGUUUUGGCUUGAGUCUGUGGCAUUCUUAAGCCACAUUGUGUCUGGAGAGGGAAUUAAAGUUGAUACUCAGAAAAUUGAGGCAGUACAGAAUUGGCCUAGACCCACAUCUCCAACUGAUAUUAGAAGUUUCUUAGGUUUGGCUGGAUAUUAUUUCAUCCCCUUUGACCAAGUUAACUCAGAAAACAGUUAAGUUUCAAUGGUCUGAAGCUUGUGAGAAAAGCUUUCAGGAGUUGAAAAAGAGGUUGACUACUGCCCCAAUAUUGACCUUACCAGAAGGUACGCAAGGCUUUGUUGUAUAUUGCGAUGCAUCCAGAGUUAGUUUGAGUUGUGUGUUAAUGCAGAAUGGUAAUGUUAUAGCUUAGGCCUCCAGACAGUUGAAAGUUCAUGAGAAGAAUUACCCAACCCAUGAUUUAGAGUUGGCUGCUGUAGUUUUGCUUUGAAAAUAUAGCGUCAUUAUCUUUAUGGUGUUCAUGUGGAUGUGUUCACCAAUCACAAGAGUCUUCAAUAUGUGUUUAGUCGGAAAGAGCUUAAUCUCAGACAAAGGAGGUAGUUAGAAUUACUCAAGGAUUAUGACAUGAGUAUUUUUAUCACCCAAGUAAGGCUAAUGUUGUUGUUGAUGCCUUGAGCAGGUUGUCUAUGGGUAGUACCGCCCAUUUUGAGGAAGAUAAGAACGAGUUAGCAAAAGAGGUGUAUAGACUUGCAUGACUAGGAGUUCGACUAAUGGAUUCCACAGAAGGAGGAGUAGUGGUGAUGAAUGGGGCUGAAUCAUCAUUAGUGUCAGAAGUGAAAGAGAAGCAAGACCAAGAUCCUUUAUUUCUUGAAUUAAAAGGCAAGUGUUCAUAAGCAAAAAAGUGAUGGGUUUUGAGAGAUGGUGUUUUGAGGUAUCAAGGUGGAUUGUGUGAUUGAUUUCAAGGGUAAUUUGGGAUGAUCCCCUACCUCUCAUUAAGUUUGCUUACAACAAUAGUUACCAUUCUAGCAUCCAAAUGGCUCCAUAUGAGGAUCGGAGAAGAUGCAGAUCUCUUAUUGGAUGGUUUGAAGUUGGUGAAGUUGGGUUGAUAGGUCCAGACUUAGUUCAUCAGGCUAUGGAGAAGGUGAAAGUUAUUCAAGAGAAGUUGAAAAUUGUCACGACCCGAGCCUACACCUAGACGUGGCCGGCACUCGAGAACCAUUGCUGGUCCCCAAGCGAACCCUUAUCCUGGCUAACUACAAGCGGAAAACUGAUUCAAGCAUACAAAGCUUAAAACUGAAUAGCAUUCAUGAAACUGAAAUACAAAGCUUUAACUCAAAUGAAAAACUCUGAAUAAAAUAAUAUAUUCAACUCGCCAUAAAAUAGGCAACUUAAGUCUUUAAAACAUUUAAUAAAAUAAAUGAAUAAUACAAACUUCUCAACUAUACUAACUAUCUAUGAAGCCUCUAACUGAUAAAGAUGGAAGUCGGGACAAGACCCACGACCUCUUAACUAAACUAAAAAGUAAAUGAAAUCCUCCGAAAACGAGGAGGCUCACCAUAGCUAACUCGAACUCCCGGAUGUGUCAACGAAUCUCCUGUUGAUGAUCCUGAAUACCUGUGUCUGCAUCAUGAGAAGAUGCAGGCCAAAUGGCUCAGUACGCGGAAUGUACGAGCUUGUAAGAGGAAUUCUAAAGCAUAAACAUAAGCUUGAAACUUGAUAAAAAUGGAAAAUACUUGCCUCUUUUCAAACUUACUCAACUCAAGGAAUACUCAAGGAUACUCAAAACUACUCAAACGUACUCAACUCAGAAGUACUCAAAGAUAAGAUACUCAACUCAAAGAUAUGUUAUUCGACUCUGGGUACUCAACUCUGUAUACUCAACUCAAUAUAAAGCAACAAUAAGAGAUGCAAUAUAUAGAAAGCUUUAUAAAAUAGUAAAAACAACUUAGUUCGUUAAAGAAAAUGCAAUAACAAACUCAACUUUACUUAUACAAUAAAGUAAUGUAGUUUAUGUGGAGUUUCUCCAACCGACAACCACCACUAUGAGCCUAAGUGNNNNNNNNNNNNNNNNNNNNNNNNNNNNNNNNNNNNNNNNNNNNNNNNNNNNNNNNNNNNNNNNNNNNNNNNNNNNNNNNNNNNNNNNNNNNNNNNNNNNNNNNNNNNNNNNNNNNNNNNNNNNNNNNNNNNNNNNNNNNNNNNNNNNNNNNNNNNNNNNNNUUAAUAUGAACUCGCAUCCCCAUAUCGAUGCUCAAUACUACUCCCAAAAAAUAUACUUAGCUCUUAUGUUUUAAAAAACCAAACUUCUUUCUUUGGUUUGAGAUAAUUACUCAAAACUUAGCUUAAAAGCUUUCUUGGAAUCGAUGUUCCCUUUCUUGCUCAAAACUCUUUUGGAAAUCUUAAUUUCCUCUCAUCUUAAAUGUGAAAACAUUACUCUUGGAAAUACUUAGUUCCCAUAUAUUAUUUUAAAGAAAAUGAACUUUACUCUUACUCUUUACUCAACUUCAAAGCUUAAGUCUUAAAACAAAAUUUAAACAUUUGUAAAAGACUUCUUAAAAUAUGGUUCAUGCCGAAUUAUGGACGUGAACGACUCAAUGCAAGGUUUUCAAUAACCAAAGAUAGAACUCAAUACUUGGAACUCAAGAACUUCAUUGUUAAUACUCGUUGCAAAAAUGCUCAACUCAGAGGGUUCAUGCGGAAUUAUGAGCAUGAAUAACCCAACUCAAACUUCAUGGGUAACAUGUAAUAGUCCCAUGAUUAGAACUAUAAUCUCAGAGGGGAUUAGAAACUCAAAACUCAAGACUUAGAACUUGAAGAUACUACUCCUUUCAAAGAUAUUGAACUGAUGGAGUUCAUGCAGAAGUUAUGGGCAUGAACGACUUGACUCAAGGGUCAAAAUAUCAAUAANNNNNNNNNNNNNNNNNNNNNNNNNNNNNNNNNNNNNNNNNNNNNNNNNNNNNNNNNNNNNNNNNNNNNNNNNNNNNNNNNNNNNNNNNNNNNNNNNNNNNNNNNNNNNNNNNNNNNNNNNNNNNACUUUUAACUCUCUCUUGAAUGUGAAUUAUGAAUUCAAGAGUUAUGGCUCAAGCUAUAAAAGAUAUCAUGACGAAAAAAUAGACUCAUGAAUACAUUCUCCUCACUCUCAUGCUCACUACUUGAGUGUUGAAAGAAGUUACUAGAAGUUGUAGAAGACUCCACAAAAGGACUCAAAGGGACUUUCUUAGAAUGUUUGAAAGAAUUCUCAAAACUUAGCUCUCAACUCUACCUUGAAUUUGAAUUAUUAAUUCAAGGUUAUGAUAAUGUUAUGAAUGAUUUCUAGGUGUUUAGAAGUAGUUUAAAGUGUUUAGAAUCAAAGGGGAGUAAAGGUACCAUUUGAAAGAACUCAAACAGACGAAACGAUGAACAACGGGUGGGGGCCGGCGACCCUGGCGCUCUGAGUCACGUGGGGCGCCAGCCCCUAAAGUUCAGAGAGGUGGUUGGGGCUCUCUGGCUGGCGUGACACUCCAGGCCCCAACCCAGAAAAGUUCGACGACUUUCUUUGCUCGUUUUCUCACCCUAAGUCGCCUAAAAUCGAACAGUUUCUUCCCCAAUCACUUGGAUUUAAUUAAUUAACAUUAAUACACUCUCAUAUACUCAAAACAACACUCAAAUUACUAAAUUUCAUUUGAAGAAAUCAUCAAAACCCCAACACAACAAGAUUUAGAAUGAACUUCAAGAACACCUAUCAAGAACUCAAAUCUUUCAACUUCAAGAAUGAAAUUUGGGCUGAAAAUAACAUGUUUGGAGUGUGGGUGAACAAACCCAACAUUAUGGAAGCUUACAUACCUCUUAGGGAUCAAACCCAUGGCAAAAAUCUGCAACAAGACGGAAGAAUCUCGACGAACGCUUGAUCCUCUCCUCUUUUCUCUUCUUUUCUCUUCUUGAACUCUCAACUAAAACCCUAGGCAUAAACUAGGAUUAUAAAACUGAACAUAAUCAAAUUAUACCCCUAAAAUAUUACUAAAAACGAAUUAAAUCUGAUUGGGUAAGGAAAAGACCAAAAUACCCCUUACUAUUUUCGACUAACUUUCCUUAACUGGGUUGCCUAACUUCAAAAGGUCAUAUCUCACUCAUCCAAACUCGAAACUUAGAAAACUCGUUGGCGUUGGAAAGAUAAUUCAAAGAUAUUUCCUACGGUAUCUGGUAGCACACCUAACGCAUCCUGAGCUAGGAUUUAUGGUCGUUUGAAGUCGACCCAAAACUCAUACUUAAGCAUAACUUGCAAAAUUUCAGAUUUUGCUAUUUCCAAGUUUGAACUUUUUUGGAACUCAAGGUGCUACAUCCAGUGACCUUAAAACUUAAGAAAUUUUUAAUUCCUUGGAAAAAUCUCACUUACUACGAUGAACGGUUCGAGUCUUAGUUCAAUUUUUUUUUUGGGUGUUACAAAAACAGCGUAGAGUCCUCAGAAAUCCUACAUUGAUGUUAGGAGAAAGAAGUUAGAGUUCGAAGUAGAUGAUUGGGUCUACUUGAAAGUUUCACCCAUGAAGGGUUUUAUGACAUUUGGUAAGAAGGGGAAGCUUAGCCCCCGGUAUAUUGGUCCUUACAGAAUAUCCAAGAGAUUCGCAAUGUAGCUUAUGAGUUGGAGCUACCUCAAGAGUUAGCAGCGGUUCAUUCGAUUUUUCACGUCUCCAUGUUGAAAAAGUGCAUGGGCGAUCCUUCUUUGAUCAUACCAACCGAAGAUAUUGGGAUCAAGGAUAGCUUAUCUUAUGACGAGAUUCCUAUUCAGAUUCUAGAUCGCCAAGUUCACAAGUUGAGAACAAAAUAGGUAGCAUCAGUCAAAGUCUUUUGGUGGAAUCAAUUUGUUGAGGAAACUACUUGGGAAUCGGAGGAGGAUAUGAAGAAGAGAUAGCCACAUCUCUUCGAAUCAGGAGAAAUUCCAGAACAAGGUACUAAUUCAUUUCUUAGUACUCUUUAACUUAUGAGAUUGCAUGUUGUAGUUGCAUUGGUUGUUGGCUGUUUGAACUGAAUGUUAGAUGUUAUGCCCUUAACUUACUAAGAGUAAGCUCAUUCGAGGAUGAAUGUUCCCAAGGGUGAGAUAUUGUAACACCCGGUAACUAGAAAGAACUAAAAAGCAAAUAGUCAUUUUUGGAAAGCAUAAAAAUCUCGAAAUAUUUAAGUGUGUUAAAGUUGAGUUUUUGGUCAAAUUCAAAUGACCAUAACUUCUAGCUCAGGAUGAGUUAAGUGUGUUUCCAGAUAUCUUAGGAAAUAUAUUGGAAUAAUCUUUCCAACGCUGCCGAGUUUACGCAAUUCUGAGUUCGUAUUAGUGAGUUAUGCCCUUUGGAAGUUGGGCUGUUCAAAUAAGGAAAUGUCCAAUCCAGAUUUUUAAAGGGUGUUUUGGUCUUUUCCAUACCAUAUUAUUUUAAUUCAUUUUUGGUGAAUUAAUUAGGGGUCAAAACUGAAUUGGUUCAGUUUAGGCAAUUGGAGAUUUACGCUAGGGUUUUUGGAGAAUGAACGCAAGAGGAGAAAAGAGGAGAAAGAGAAAAGUUCGUCGUUCUUGAAGGUUUUACUUGUGGAUUUCGACAAGGGUUGAUCCCUAAAGAGGUAUGUGAGUCUUUCAUAGCAUUGAGUUCGUUCACCUACGCGCCAAUCAUGUUUAUUUCAGCGUAAAUUCGUCCUAAAAGAGUUUGAAAGUUGAUGUUCUUGACAUCUAUUCUAGAAUUUGAUAUUGUUCUUGAGUUGGGCUGAAAUUGAGAAGUUUCUAAGAUCAUUACGUCAAAUUAUUGAGUUGGUUGAAGUUAGGUUCUUAGGUUUAGGUACAUUUGCUGGGUAUCUGUAUCUAAAAAGAAUUUGGGAAAAAGAACCGAGUUUGGGCGAAUUGGGGCUGGAAAACGAAGAAGAAAAUUCGUCAGGAAAAUCAGGGCACUGGCUCCGCAUCGCGGACCUGCUCCCCAGAUUUGGGAAAAGUCAUUUCGCGUCGCGGAGCGGUCACAGACCGUUCUGCCUCAAAAAGUAUUUUUGCGACCAAAAUUUAAAUACACCUCGACGUCGUGGACUAGUUUCCAGGCAGUGAUUUCUUGAUCAUUUAUCAUGUUUAGCUAUCUAAAAUCAUUCCUAAGUAUCAUGAGAUCUUUUCUAUCAAAAAUCUCAAUCCUUGAACCUAUAAUUCAAUUCAAGGACCAGUUAAGAGUUAAGUCAAGAGAAGUUAAGAGUCAAGUCAAGAGAAGUUCAUAGAGUUUUCCAAGGGUCUUUUACAAAUGUUUUAACUUUGUUUUAAGACUUGAGUUUGAGUUGAGUAAAGUUUGAAGUUCAUUUCUUCAAAAGAGUAUAUCGGGACUAUGUAUUUCCAAAGAGUAAAAUGUUUUUCACAUUUUAAAGAAGAAAUGAAACUUUGAUUUCCAAAAGAGCCUUUGAGCUAGUUUUCAGUGAAGAGCCUUUGAGUUAGUUUUCAGUUUAAAGAGUAAAUGCUUUCACAAUAAAGCAAGAGAGGAAACUUAGAUUUUCAAGAUAGCCUUUGAGCUCAGUUUUUGAGCAAUUAUCUCAAAUCACAGAAAGAAGUAUGUUUUUUAAAACAUAAGAGCUAGUAUUAUUUUGGGAGUAGUAUUGAGCACCGAUAUGGGGUAGAGUUCAGACAACUCACAACCCCCAUAAACCAUGUAGCCACCAUGGGUAGAAAAGGGUCCUAUUGUUUAGAUGAUUCCUUGAUGCUUUUUAGUAUAGACUAGUAGAUCCACUUAGUAGUUCAGGUUCUAUACUCAUGGCUAAGUUUAGGACGGCCCUGGCAGAGUGAGGCAAAACGCUGUAUCAUCACAAUAUCUCUUAAGUGAUGGUUGUCGGUUAGAGAAACUCUACAAUAGUAUUUUGUAUUCUUUUAUACACAGAUUAUUUGUAUUUUCAUAUACAAACAGAGUUCAUAUUGUAUCUUUGCAUACAUGCAAAAUUAUUAUUGUAUUCCUAGAUACACAAAGUUGCUUUCCAUGUUUUAAAAUCUUUUAUUUAUAUUGCAUUUAUAUUACUGCUUUAUAUUGAAAUCAAUUCAAUUCAGUUGAGUUGAGACCAUGUUUGUUUCUUCAGUUCCUUUUAAGCUUAUGUCUUGUUUUAGAUUUCCCCUCGCAUACUCGUACAUUCAAUGUACUGAUGCCAGUUGGCCUGCAUCUUUUCAUGAUGCAGACGCAUGUAACUAGGAUCAACAUCCAGCGCAUCGUUGAUCCAGUUGAGCACUCAGAGUCUAUGCUAAAAUGCACUUAAGGAAUCAUCUAAAAAGUAUGAUCUUUUACUAUCCAUGAUGGCUACAUGGUUUAUGGAGACGUGAGUUAUCUGAACUCAAACUCGUCCCUAUAUCGGUGCUCAAUAUUACUCCCAAAAUACUCAGCUCAUAUGUUUAAAAACAUAACUUUUUCUGUGGUUUGAGAUAACUACUCAAAAAUCUAUUCUUAAAAGAGAUGAUACUCAAACUGCUCAAAACUCUUUUGAAAAUAUCUGUUUCCUCUCAUCUUAAAUGUGAAAACAUUUACUCUUGGGAAUACUUAGUUGCCAUAUAAUCUUUGAAGAAAUAAACUUUACUCUUACUCUUUACUAAACUCAAAGCUUAAGUCUUAAAACAAAGUUAAAACGUUUGUAAAAGACUUCUUAAAAUAUGGUUCAUGCCGAAUUAUGGACAUGAUGGACAUGGAUGACUCAAUGCAAGGUUUUCACUAACCAUAGAUAAAACUCAAUACUUGGAACUCAAGAACUUCAAUGAUACUGCUCAUUUCAAGAAUGCUUAACUUAGAGGGUUCAUGCAGAAUUAUGAGUAUGAACUACUCAACUCAAGGACUCAAGGACUCAAAGAUACUUCUCAUCUGAAGACAGGAACUCAACACUUAAAGGCUUAGAACUUGAAGAUACCACUUCUCUGAANNNNNNNNNNNNNNNNNNNNNNNNNNNNNNNNNNNNNNNNNNNNNNNNNNNNNNNNNNNNNNNNNNNNNNNNNNNNNNNNNNNNNNNNNNNNNUUAGGAACUCAAUACUCAAGACUUAGAACUUGAAAAUACUACUCCUCUCAAUGAUGCUCAAUUUAUGGAGUUCAUGUGGAAUUAUGGGCAUGAAUGACUCCCAAUAACGAACUAAUGUAUACGACUUUUCUCCAUACUUACUUAUUCAAAACUUAACUCAAAUUGAUGGUGGAUCUAAAAGGAUUCACAAUUGAAAUCAAAGUCUUCCUUGAACUCUACUCUUUAACUCCUCUUGAAUGUGAAUUAUGAAUUCAAGAGUUAUGGUUCAUGAUAUGUAGGAUAUAAAUGAUAGUGUAGACUCAUGAAUACAUUCUCCUCACUCUCAUGCUCACUUACUUGAGUCUUGAAAUAAGUUAUUAGAAAUUGAAGAAGACUCCUCAAAAGGACUCUCUCAAAAUGAUUAAAAAAACUCUCAAGACUUAACUCUCAACUUUACCUUGAAUUUGAAUUAUGAAUUCAAGGUUAUGAUUCAUGUUAUGAAUGAUUUCUAAGUGUUUAGAAGUAGUUUAGAGUGAUUAGAAUUAAAGGGAGUGAAGGUUCACUUAAAAGGGGCUCAAACGGGACAACCGACGGAAAAUGAGUUGGGGCAACCAACCCUGGCGCGUUCCGGGCGCAGGGAGCCAGCCCCUAACUUCAGAGGCUGCAUAUGGGUGCACUGCAGGGGCGCUGCCCCAGCCCCUUGGUCGCAUUUGGGGCGCGCCACCCUAGCCUCUCCCCAGGUCAAGUUCGACGAAUUUUGCCUCUCGUUUUCUGAUCCUAAAUCACUUUUAAUCGAUUUAUUUUCUCAAGUUUCCCUUAAAUUCAAUUACUGAACCUAAGUACACACUAAUCCACUCAAAACAAUCACUUUCAUCUCGAGAAAUCAUCAAAACCCCAACAAGACAAGAUUUAGAAUGAACUUCAAGAACACUUAUCAAGAACUUAAAUCCUUUAACUUUUGAGAGUGAAAUUGCGCUGAAAGUAACAUGUUUGGCGUGUGAGUAAACAAACCCAAUAUUAUGAAAGCUUACAUACCUCUUAGGGAUCAAACCCAUGGCGAGAAUCCGCAACAACACGCAAGAAUCUUGACGAACGCUUGAUCCUCUCCUUUUUUCUCUUCUUUUCUCUUCUUGAACUCUCAACUAAAACCCUAGGUGUAUUUUAGGAUUAUAAAACUGAACCUAAUCAGAUUAGACCCCUAAAACAUUACUAAAAAAUGAAUCAAAUUUGAUUGGGUAAGGAAAAGACCAAAAUACCCCUCUAAAAUUUGAUUUUGAGUUUCCUUAUCUAGACAUCCCAACUUCUAAUGGCCAUAUCUCCCUCAUACGAACUUCAAAUUGAGUAAACUCGGUGGCGUUGGAAAGAUAAUUCAAAAAUAUUUCCUAAGGUAUCUGGUAGCACACCUAAAUCAUCUUGAGCUAGGUGUUAUGGUCGUUUGAAGUCGACCCAAAACUCAUACUUAACUUAACUUGCAAAAUUUCAGAUUUUGCUAUUUCCAAUUUAGUUCUUAUUGGAACUCAAGGUGCUACAUAUAGUUACCUUGACACUUAAAGAAAAUUUUAAUUUCUUGAUUAAAUCUCACUCACUACGAAGAACGGUUUAGGUCUUAGUUCGAAAAUUUUUCUGGGGUGUUACAAAAUUCUUCUUCAAUAAUUGAAUCUAUUAGUUAGUGAACUCGAGUAAAUGGCUAAAAACAUCCCUGAACUAUACCUCAAACUCAAACUACAUCCGUGUAUCAUUACAUUGAACAAAAAACAUCCUUCAACUAUCUAAAAAACUGCAAGUUACAUCCUUAUGUUAACUUUCUAUCAAGAAACUAAUCACUUUAAGUAGAAGCACACAACAUUCCGAUAAAGGCAAACAAUUUUGCCCACUCACUGAUCUUCUCUAUCAAGUAGUAAACUAGUAAUCAUAUUAAAAGGUAUUCUAUGACUAGCAUUAUUGUAGGAAUAUUAAUUAAUUAAGGCCUAAAGAUUUAUAACUUGGGACUUGUUCAACUUUGGUUUGUCCCUUUUUUAAUUUUACUGAGCUUGUUAUUAUGUUGUUAGCUUUUCUAUCAAGACUCUUAUUGAUCCCAUGCUAUUUCGAGUUUGCUUUAUUUUUUCAUUUUCUAAUUAGUACGUUACUCCUCCAACAACAUUCAUCAAAUUUCCAAUACUCUCAACUAAUUAAAUGAAAACUUUAAACAUAAAAAUCAGAUGUAAACCUUGCAGAUUUGUCUUUGGACAUAAAAAUAAUAAUUAUGUGAUACUAAAAUACAAGGAUUUGAACUCUUAAUUAGUGUGUGUUUUGGUGCUGGGAAAAAUAAUUUUUAAAAAUAUAUUUUCAAUUUUUCAUAUUUAAUUGACCAAAGUUUUUGAAAAAUAUUUUAUCUAAGAAGACAAGUUCUUAAAAUAUAAAAAAAAAUGAGUUGUAAUAUCGACGUAGGAAAAAAAGCUCCACAAAUGACAUUUCAAAUUCAUUCACAAAUCCUUUUAGCAAAGACAAUGUUUGUUCUAUGUUUAAGAAGACAGUGAGGGGACAAAAUCUCUUUUCAUUAGGAGAUGGUCGCUAUAUUUUUGAUAGAAAAUUAAGGAGGGAUGUAACUUGUAACUUUCAAAAUAGUUCAGCGAUGGUUUUUGUUCACAAUAAUAAUAUAAGGAUGUAGUUUGAGUUUAAGGUAUACUUAAAGGAUGUUUUUGGCCAUUUACUCUAGUGAACUCCUCCAUUAAUGACUAGUCUAAAGUUAGAUUCUUGUAACUUUCAAUUUUGAUUUUGAUUUUGAACUACCAACAAAUUAUCAAAGUGAUGAAAAGUAUGUGAUUUGGUGGUGGGAAUUGACUUAGUGAUGAAAACCUGAUGAGGGCGGUGACCUGGUGGUUGAGGUGAGCCACCGCUGAUGUUUAGUAUGGAUCUGAUGAUGAAGAUUGAAGGGAAGAGAUAAAGAAGGUAACAAAUAAAUAAAAGGAAACAUAUUUUUAAAAAAGUAGAAUAUUAAUAUAAAUUAAAUAAAAUAUUUAUGAAGUUAAUAUUCUAAUUAUUUUUUGAUCUCUCACUCUCCCAAAGAGAGUGAACUAUACCUUCUUUGCCACAUCAACAUUUAGGGAGCAAAUAACUCCAUUUUAAAAUAGUCCAGGGGUGUAAUAGGACUCUUGUAAAGUAUGAGUGUGUAGUUGGGAAUCCGACUAUUGGUUGGGGGCAGUGGCGGAGCCAGAAAUUUUAAUAAUGGGGUUCAAAAUCUGAGAAGUAAACACACGAACUAGUGGAAGAGGGUUCGACAUCUAUUAUACAUACAUAAAAAAUAAUUUUAACCAUGUAUAAAUAGUAAUAUUUUUCGUCGAGGGGGUUCGGAUGAACCCCUUCAUUACAUGCUGCCUCCGCCCCUGGUUGGGGGGCUUUUGGCCAUUUUCUCUUCUUUUAUAUGGUGCACUAAGUUUCAAGUGUUAGUGCACUUUUAGUCUCUUUAUUAACAUCCAUUUACUCAUUAACGUUUUGAUCGAUCCUUUACACAUCCAUUUAUGGCCUCCGCUGUAUACGUUCUGGUACAAAACAAAUUAAUUCUUAGAUUUAUCUUAGCAAUUGCAGAUGAGUCUUCAUUUAUACUUGUUUUAUUUUUUGGCUCUGCAUCUUCAUUGUUUGGUGUGCACCAUUAAAGAUUUGCUAAUUCUUUAACUUUCUCCUCUAUUUUCCAUACACAAUUAAUAGGCUGACUAAGCCUUUGGGUUUUUCCUGAAUAAAAGUUUCUUGUGCUUUGCCUAUAUGUAUAUCUGGAGCAUAACCAAAGAAUAAAAUAAAAACAAGAAAAAAGGAAAAAUAUAAUGCAUGUAUCAAUAUCUCAAAUUAGAGUCGGAUAAAGGGUGUGUUCUAAUCAAAUUUUUUGGAAAAGAUUUUGUUUAGGAAAACAAGUUUCAUACGUGACACUUCAAAUGAAAAAAAAGACUUUGUUUAGGAAGUAGGGAAAACAAGUUUCAUAUGUGACAUUUCAAUUGAUUAUAUUGUCCGCCCACUCUCUAAGACACCACAUCUUCACCUCAGUACUCCCAUAGCUUCCAUACCCACUACCCUACACAUCUACCCUACCUCCGUCUCUCAUAGUAUUUGUCUAGAUUAUACGUAAAUGCUUUUAGAAUAACCAGCCAAAUAGAGUCAACAGGAGGAGACUAGUAAAGAAGUAGUCAUGUGGUUUUCUAGUCUUUUCAUUAACUAGUCAAUAGUUAUUCUUGAGCUACAUAUCAAGUUAGCAUAUAGAGCAAUUUUGCAGGUAAUUUAAGGAGCAUUAAACAUUAAUUAUCCUUUUCUACUAUUAUCAAUCUACAAAUCCUUGGAAAUGGAACAAUUUUAACUUACCCAAUAUUGAAAUGUGAAAGAUGGACAGAAGUAAAAAGAAUUAGCGUAACAAUGGCAGCAAAACCCUAUAUCCCCAAAUAGGACAAAUUCAGAUUCAGAUUUAAAAAAAUAAUCAGAAAUCUAACCUUAUAAGCUGAUGAAGUAGAAGUGGCAAAAAGAGAUACUGGAUUGAUUGAGUGGUGUUGUAGAAAUACCUCAACAGUUGACUACUUCCUCACAUUUCUUUUGUCAUUAUAUUUUAUACAACUCCUUUUAAUUCCUUUUAUCUAAGUUUUUAAUUAUGCGGUGGAGUAAUAAGUACUUAUUCAUAUUUAGUUAGAGGUUUCGGAUUUGAGUCUUUUUGGCUAUAAAAGGAUCUUUGUUAGGGAGUGCUUUACCCAUAAUUUGAGAUUUUUUGGCACAAAUUCAAAUUUAGUGAGGCUCUAAUUUGGAUAUCGAACACUGAGUGGAAAACCAAAAAAAGAAAAAUUACCAUAGGGCUCAUUUGGUAGGUGGAUAAAGCUACAUCUACAUGGUUUUUCAUGUAUUUAAUUUAUAUAAUGUUUUGUUGGUAGAAUGUUGUAUAAAAGUUAUUCAUGUAUUAACAAAGAUGUUUCUCUCUACGAUAUGUUCCCGCAAGAGAAAGAGUUUGUUAUUUGAGGGGGGGGGGUUAUUUGGAGUCUUUUAACCACAAUUUGAAGCCUCGACAUAUCUCUUUUAUCCAUGGUUCAAGGCCCCGACGUAUUUUUUUUGCCACGGUUCGAGGCCCCAACAUAUCUCUAUUCGCCUUGGUUCAAAUCCUAACAUGUGGUUCAUUUGGGUUCUUCGGGGUGCCUUCACCAAAGUUCAAGUCUGGAAUCAGCCAUUGCAGUUCUUGAAAGCUUUUAAUGUAGCUAGUGUUAUUCAUAGUACUUCUGUGUACUUAUCAGACCUAAGUGAAUCCAAACUCGUUUGAGUUAUUUACUUUCCAAUUGCGCACGAAUAUACGUACUUGCUGGGCUUAUAGGGUCCAGUUAGGUUAUAGAUAAUUGUUUUACUUUACUACUUCGUUCUAUCCACACUUGUGAGCUAUAUAGUUAGAUUUUCUGUUAUUGCUUUGUUCAUUUUACCUCUAAUUACCGUUACUUUCAUAUUGUUUUUACUUUCCAAGUUUAGUCAAACUAUGAUGCCUACUCGACACAUGUUGUUUUGAUAUUCAUGCUACACUCCACAUCUGUUUUCUUGAUGUAGAUUUGAGCACCUGCUGAUAACGGUGAUUCGAGCCUAAGUAAUGCGAAGAUCUUCUGAGAUGAAGGGUGAGUUGUUGGCUUCCUAGUUCGACUUAUCUCCAUAUGUAUAUAGUUUUUUACCUGUCUUUUGUAUUCGAGACAAGUAUAUUAAUUAGUAAGUCAAUAGCAUAGGCUCUAAACUAUGACUAAAACAUUGAGUGCAUGACAUGCACAUCUUACUCCUUAUUUUCCUUAUUCAGGGCCGUCUUAACCUCUAGGCCACUAAAGCCAUCGCUUGGGGUCCCAUAUAUUUUGGGUCCCCCAUUUUAAAAAAACAAUUACUUAUAUAUGUUAUUUUUUUAAAAAUAAAUUAUAUGUACUAUUAGCGUUAUGAUUUAUGCUAAAGAAAUUGCAUAUGAGAUGAAAAUAUACCUUAAUUUCGUAAGAAACGGUUUGAUGAAAAUAUGGAUAGAGAAAUCACAAAGUCCCUUGAAUAAUCUUUUAGUGUUUAUUGAUUUAUAUAUGUAGGGUAGAUCAAACUAUUUUUUCAUUUCAAAAUAGAUUCGAACCAAUUGAAGCAUAUAUAUGGAAAUAUUUUUGAUUUCUUAUUUAGUAGUAAAAUGUUGAGAUCACUAGAUGAUGAAUUUAAAAAAUAUUGUCUUAACCUUGAACUUUCUUUAACAUGUAAUAGUUAUUCUGAUAUUGAUGGUUUAAAUUUAUUUUUUGAAUUAAAAGUGUUAAGGGAAAUAAUACAAAUAGAAGAUAAUGAUCUAACAAAAAUACUCAAUCAAAUAAAAAGACUUGAUUCUUUUUCAAAUACACAUAUUGCUUAUAGAAUAAUGUUAACAGUUCAUGUAACCGUUACCUCAGCCGAAAGAAGUUUUUUCGAAAUUAAAAUUGAUUAAAUCUUCUUUAAGAUGAACAAUGUCUCAAGAGAGAUUGAAUGAAUUAGCUAUAUUACCAUUUGAAAAAUAAUUAUUAAAACAAAUUGAUUAUGAAACAGUACCUAUUGACUUCGCAUCUAAAGUAGCUAGAAAAGAAGAUUUUAAAUAAAAGUAUAUAGGAUGAAAAAAAUAAAAUAUUAGGGCCCCUCUAUUCAGUUUUCCUUUAGGCCCCUAAUGUUGUUGAGUCGGCCUGGUUAUUCGUACCUAUUUUUUUCAUACUUUCUAACUUCACUAGUACAUUAUCAUUUGUUAAGGAAAAUUAUGUAAACUGAAUAGUAGAUGGCCUGAUCCACUUAUGAGUGAGUGCUAGUUCAUUGAUUGAUACAACUAAUUCACAUUAAAUAAUAUAUAUUACAUUUUUGAACUGUUAAACUAGAAAUAAGAUUAAGGAUAAGGGAACUCUGUAUUAACUUCACUUUUCCUUAUUAGUAUCAAAAGUUUCUCGUUUAGGAAAUAGGAAGUUUUGAAGGACUAAUAUUAUCCUUUCUUUUAAAUUGAACUCUAUCUAAUGGCUGAUUCUAUUUAUGAAUCAAUCCCUUAGGUGCAUUAUUUCCAUAGGUUCCAACAUUGGUAACAAAAUCUAGCUUUCUCGCUUGAAUUGGCAUAAUUCUAUACUUCCCUCAUCUUAUCUAUCACGGAGGCCGCUCCCACCUUAUCCCUUAUAUCCUCAUUCUAAUCUUUAUCACUCCGAGUAUGAACACGCAUCCACCUCAAUAUCCAUAUCUCUGCAACAUGCAUCUUCUAGACAUGAGAGUUCUUGACUGGCCAACUCUCAUUUCCAUACAACAAUUUACAUACACACUCUAUAUAAAUACACACAUACAUAUAUUGGUGGAAAAAUCAUCAAUAGAUGAAACUUAAACAAUACUCUCUCUAUCUCAAUUAAUGUGACAAUUGGAUUUUAUCUUUUAAAUUGUUAAUUAUUGUGAUUUACCUUUUCACAUAAUUUUCAAAUAUAUAAAUUUUAUAUAAAAAAAUUUAAAGCUUCUGUAUCCGAAUUUACUGUCAAAUUAUAGAAGUUUGAAUCUCAAAAUUUCAACUAAUGCCACGUAAAUUAAAUCAACCCUAACACUCAAAAAAGCUACAAAUAAUUCAAACAUAGAAAGUAAAAAAGAAGUAGAAAAAACCUUGAUAUAUAUAUAUAUAUAAAUAAAUUAUAUAUUGAUUUGUAAUUGGUUGCUGUCACUUCUGAGCAAAAUCGUGCACACUCAAUGGAUGCUGUUACAAGUAAUAUUGGUGUACAAAUAACUACCAAAAACAAAGGGAAAAUGCCAAGAGUUGGGGUUGAUGCAUCGCGAGUUGGUUCAGGCCAAAAAAUAAUGGAUUCAGGACACAAACUAAUGGAUACAUCUGAUGUUGAAGAUGCUGAAGAUUCUGGACAGCAUGUUUUGCAAGUUGAAACCAAGAAUGCAACUAAAAAUUGGACACUAGUUGCACACAAAAAUUCAACUAGUAAUCGGAGCCUUUCCCGACUAAUCAAAAUAAUUCUCCAUGUAGUGAAAAGGGUGCGACUGAAAAUUUUCAUGACAGUGAGAAGAGGCAAGAUAUUAGUAAUGCCUCAAGAUACCUAUUUUGUUCGAAUAGCUUUGAUGCUUUAUCAAAGACUACUGGAAAGAAAGUAAAGUUAACAGAGAAUGACAACGAUUUGAUCUAAGAAAAGCAAGUCUCACCACCUACUUUGAAUAGCAAAUUAAGUCCAAAAGCUCCCAUAUUUGUGCCUAAAUGCGUGAUUGUAAAGAAGAAUGAGACAAGGGCCUUAGUGUCAGAUACAAUUGAUUUGAGCGAGGAUUCUCUUGAUGAAGAUGAGGAAGACAAUAUGCUUGAUUUGGGCGAGGAUUCUCUUGAUGAAGAUGAGGAAGAUAUGCUGGACAUAUGCUUUGACAGAGUGGCUAGGGAAGGAGAUAUAUCACCUCGGCAACAAAUAAGUAGAAGCAACAAAAGCAAAAAGAAGACACAUGGAAGGCAACAUAGUUGAGACGGUAAAAUGACUGAGGAGUUUGUUCCAAGGCACCUACCAAUGCGACAAGCAAAGCAGAACCAUUUGACAGUAUCAAUUGGUUCAACAAGAUCCAAUAAAUCCAUAAAGAAAGUAUGAAUUAUCAAGUGUUGUUGGAUAAGUUUGAAGAAGAAGACAACAGAAAAAUACUUUAAGUUACUUUUGAUGGGCAAUCAAUCUUUUUUAAUUCAUGCGUUUGUAAUUGAAAGUUUGAGGUUGAUAACUCAACUUUCUUCUUGAUUGACAUAUUUUUACAUUAUUUAAGCAUCCUAGUUUGUAAUAUCAUCAUGGAGUGUAUUACAAACUUUGUGGUGAUCAGAAAAUACUUAGUUCUCUCUAGCUCUUAUUUUCUUCAUGCUUGUUAGGUAGUAGACGUUAGGUACUUCAUUAGGAUUAGUACGGUAAGGCCUACCCCCUUGCUUGCACUUAUCCCUAUUGAUUUUUUUUAUGUUUAAUAAAAGGCCACUAGACACUGUCUAGUGGUAAAUUUGCGGGAAAAAAAAACCUUGAGAUAAUAUGCCUUGCGAAUUUCCUCUUGAGAUGCUAAAAGACUUACAUCAAGAACAUCAUAAUACUCUGUCUCUUUAACCAUUUUCUUUUCUUUUUCCAAAAUCCCAAUUAACAAAAAACUACUCUUUUACCUCUUCCAAUACUCUGAUUACCUUUUUUUGCGCUUGUAAAAUUUUAAAGUAGGAGCGGAAAACCAUUUGACUGUAAGGAAAAGAAACAAGCCGUGUUGAGAAUUGAUUUAAAAUCUUUUGUUUAAGUUUACUGCUUAGGAUAAGUUUUACAGUAGGUUGAAUAAGUCUUUUACUAGAAUUGAAAUAGUCUUUAUUAGUUACUACUUUUCUGGUAGUAUUUAGUCAAGUGGCGUCUAUUAUCUUUCUGAGUUUGUUAGCCUAUAAAAGGCGUAGAGACUUCUAGUUAAUAAUCUCUCUUCUUCCUACAAGCCAAACAAAAAAAAUGAUGAGUGAUCCAAACAAUUUUAAGCUCAAACACAAUGUUAUAAGAAGGUAAGAUAAGAAAUAAUGUCACAAUAUUACAGGUAAAUCGUUUUCUUUUUCCUGUUUUUCAAUUUUUAUCACUAUAAUAUUAUGUAUGCCAAAUCUCUAAGAUGAGGCCUCAUCCAUUGGUAUGGUAUAGAAGUAGCGUUCAAUUUGCUCGACUGCAUUAUCCUCGCCCUGAGUCUCGUUUCCUCUCUUUAUUGGAACUAGGCUCUCCUUGUAAUUGAAAACCCAACAGCCAGCAAUGAAAAGGUCCAGCUGAAAUCCAAGAUCUGUAACUUGCCUUGUUUUAGGGUCAUAUAGCACCAGCUGUGAAGUUUCUGUGAUCUCGAAAACCAUCUUAUCGUUAUCCCAGAUGUUGAGAGGCCAAUGAGCAUCUAUAUGAGGUUGAAUAGUAAGAACUUUGGACCAAUUUCCCUCUUGUUUCAUUACCCACACAUUGUAUAUGGAUGUCAUUGGUUUGCCAGGGUCACCGGUUAACAUAGCAAGUAAGCCGCCAUGCAAUGUAAGUGUCCCCCAAUGUUCACUUGGAAUAUGUGGGACUUGUAUCUCCCCAAACUGUUCGCUGUCCAUGUCAAAAGAGCGAAUCGUGUAGAUAUCAUCAAGGCCCCUACAAAGCCAAUAAUAAACCCUGUUGAGAUAAGUGGCAUCAAGGGGUGCAGACAAGGUAGAACUGGGAGGGAAUUCAGGAGUAAGGUGUUUCCAUGAAUUGUUGCAUGAGGAAUAGACACAGGCAUAGACACGAUUAUUAGCACCUUGUCCCGGCAUAUCCCAGAAUACUCGAAUCCAUACAACCUUAUAAUCUAGAGUCAACAGGUCAAAUCCCAAUCCAAACUGUUGAUCAUGGUUUGUGAAAAAGCCCUUAAUCUCAAAAGGCGCAGGAGGCAGAGUCCUGAACUCUUUGGUGGCAGGAUUCCACAAACCCAAGCAGACAUCGUCGCCAUAAAACUUCUUCUGCACUAAGAAUAAGCCAUCAACUGGACCAGCAACACACGUGAAAUGAGUGAUCCUCGGAAGCUGAAGGAGAAUUUUUUGUCAGGGGUCACACCUGGAACAAUUUCUUUAGGGAGCAAGGAGAAUGCAACAGACUUUACGAUGGGGUGUACUUCACGUGCUACUUUCAAGUUGCAAACAAGGAGACGGGCACAAUUGUUCUUGUGAUGAAAAUGUUUUCAUGAAACUCGGACUUUUGAUGAGAGCACACCAGUGCUUGCGCACACAUUGAAACGCAAGAGUGAUUCCACGGGCAAUCUCAAUAGAAUUUCAAUUACUACAUCUUCUGCGAAAGGGCGGUGACCAUCCAUACUGGUGGAAAUAUAAGUAAAAUGAGACAACUUACAAACAUAUUGAAAGAGAACAGAUCUGGAAACAUGCAUUAAUAGAACACAUAGUGCAAUGAAAAAGAUCAAGCAGCAGCAUUACCAUGUGAAAUAGUAAAUUGGACUGAUCAAUAAUCAGGGCGAAAUUAGGAGGAGACAAGUAAAGAAGUGGUGAUAUGGUUUUCUAGAGCAAUUUUGCAUGUAAUUUAAAUACCAUUUUUCAACUAUAAUAUUAAUCGACAAACCCUUGGAAAUGGAACAAUUUUUAAAUGCAAAAGAUGGAAAGAAUUAAAAAGAAUUAGCAUAAACAAAAACAAUGGCAGCAAAACCCUAUAUCCCCAAAUAGGACAAAUUUAGAUUCAAAUUCAAAAUAAAUAAUCUAACCUUAUAAGCUGAUGAAGAAGAAGUG